rnacentral:lncRNA from 1 species
GGGCGUGGAAGGAGAGAAAGAGGAUGGAUGGUGUGUUUAUGGUGGUUAAUUUGCUGCGGGAUUUCUGCACAAGUCUUAUGCAAGUAGAAAUUUUGACAAUUAACAUCGUCAUUUCGACUAACACAAGUAUAUGUAGGAGAGCCUACGACUCUUUUGUUGCAAAUAAUGCAAGCAGCAUCCUCUGCAAAAAUAAAAUCUUUUUGUAAACAUAAUGAAUGCUCAUGUAGAUAAACAGAUAUGGGUAAUUUUGAACAAGUCUUGUGCAGGCAGAAACUUCGACGAUCAUUGUGUCUAGUACACAAAUAUGCACCAGAGCCUUUCGCUGAUUUGUUGCACGUAUGGCAUAUAUCGUCUCUCGCAGCAAUAAUCUUUAUAAAUGUGUACCCCGAAUUGCUGAAGAACUCGAACACUGAAAUCAUUUUUGGCUGAGAGAAAAAGAUUUAAAAAAGGGUUCCUUCUUUCUUCCUGUCUUAGUGGCCUAACAACUUGGUGCUUGGGGUUCAAGGUUCCAACAUAUAUAUAUUAAUUAAAACAGGAGUAAGAUCAUAUAAUAAUCCCCGAAUAAGAUCAUAUGAUAAUACCUUAUGUAAACAUACCCCUUGGUCUAGCCCCGUUUCUUUAUAAAUGGGUUGGCCACGGAAGUUUAAGAAAAGUGUGGAAAAUAAUGAAAAAGAAGUGAAAAAAAUGGGUAAAAAAAAUAAUCUAAGUUUUGCCGGAACUCCUCCUUUAACUUUUACUUGUGCUUCGGAUUGGUUGUCCAAUUUCAACAAAAAUAAUCUAAUUCGACGUUGUGUCAAAUCACAUCCUAGCUAAAAUUUUAACUACAUUUCUAAAAAAUAUAAUAUAAGAAAACAAUAAAACAAAAUAAGAAAGCAGAAGCUUUAUCUUUAUCAAAAUCAAAGAACCUAAAGUAUCAAACUUUACCUUUUACUUUAAAUUUUCGAAAAAAAUUUGGUGAAAUUUGGCGGGCUUAAAAGUUCAGCUCCCUGAUUUAUAAGUUAAAAACACUUAUUUGUAUCAUUGUGUAAAAACAAGAAUACUGAUAAGAAGUUGUGAAUACUAUUUUUGUUUUAUAUAUGAUUUUACUUUUUUCCCAAAUAAUUUAAUCACUUAUAAAUCUUAACUUCCAUUUAACUUAUACUUCACUUUUUUUUUUUUUUUUGACAAAUGUAGGAAGAUUUUAUUAACUUGAAUAUGAUACAGCCGGGACAAACCCCCAACUGUCGAUACAACCAGGUGGUAAAACAAAUAACAUACUAAAAACAAUUAGAUGAUUUGUUUCCUGAUCGUUUAACACAUAGAAUUUAAAAAUUCUUGAAACUAAAAACGAAAUCAAAGACAUCACAAUUGACAUCACAAAUAACAUACUAAAAACAAUUAGAUGAUUGACAAUGAACAAUCUUUGAUUGUGAAAGGUGAGCUCUUGUAAUAAUCACCACCGUCCCAAUAUCGAUAUAGUCUUUGCAGAUCGCCAAAAAUAUCAAUAAACUCGUUUUCAACAGAUCCAACACCAAAUAAACCCAAUCACAACUAGACAAAAACAUAACAGAACACUCCAAAAGGAGAGACAAAACACACACUCCAAAAGAAGAGACACACAAACACCCAAAAGAUUGGGUUUUAUUGAAAGGAAAUUAACGAGAAUAAAGGAUAAACGAAGGGGUUGGGGCUUUCCACCGGAGAAAACCAGUGGAAGCCCCUUGAUUUACUUGAAAAUGGACAAACCCUAGAUGAGAGGAGAGGAGGGAAGCUCAGCAGGGCAAGAUUCUACUCUAUACUUCACUUUUUUACUUUAAGUAAGAUUCACUUAUAUUAAACUCAUCCAAACAGUCCCCUUACCUUUGAGUUUUUUAAGUAUAUUUGAGUAACGUUAUAGCAGAGGGAGCCUGUACUUACUGGAUGCUAUCCCAUUCUCAAGCAAACUGCAUUGUAAGACUUCAUUACUCCUUGUUCGUCUUGAUCUAGGUGAUUAUUUUAUAAGACUUUAAACUUUUUUGUUUUGCGAAAAUGAGUUCGGCUGAGCACGGUUGGAAAAUUCAGUGGUUAACAGUUUAUUUUUAAUUAUUUUUAAUUGUCUCAGGUUUUGGUUUCGACCAUGACUUACGCCGAAAAUUUAUUAGAACAGAUAAUAUUUACUUGUAAAACUAUAAGCCAUAUUUGUCAGGAAAACAAAAAAGAAAAAGAGUUCGGUUAUCAUUUGGGCAGCAUGGAUAAAUUCAGUCCAUAUUUGUAAUAAAUUAGAUUCAGAAUAAUAUAUUUUUCAAUUUUAUAAUUGAAAAUCACUAUCACAUUCAGUCGGUUCAUUUUUGAAACCAUCAAUCCAGAGAAAGUCCAAUUUCGUAAAAUUAAAAUCGGUUUUUCUAGUGUGUGCCCAUGGGCACACACUAAGCACCAAAUUUUAUAAGUUUGGUGGUUUUUGAUUGGCUCAUGCUUCAUUAUAAUGGUGGACACCCUGCAAAUUCACCAACCACACCAAUCAAAAUCCACCAAAAUUAUAGAAUUUGGUACUCUCUCUGUUUUUUAAUAUAUGACGUUUGACUUUUUGGCACACAUUUUUAAGUGCUUUGACCGGGUAGUUAGAAGUAUUAUUUUUAAAAAAAAAUUUCUCUGAAUAAAAAUAUGUAAUCAAAAUUUUAAUUCACAAAAAAAAAUCAAUUAAAAAUAAUAAUUUUUACUACUCGUUAGCCCAAUGUUCAAAAACACCAAUCGCAUAAAUUGAGAUUGGAGAAGCGGCACCACAACUAUCUACAUGCCGGUCACCAACUAUAGACAUGCCGAAGGCACCCCAGCUAUCUACAUGCCGGAUACCAGCUAUAGACAUGCCGAAAGUGUAAAUCCGUGACGGAUGAACAAUCUUUGAUUGUGAAAGGUGAGCUCUUGUAAUAAUCACCACCGUCCCAAUAUCGAUAUAGUCUUUGCAGAUCGCCAAAAAUAUCAAUAAACUCGUUUUCAACAGAUCCAACACCAAAUAAACCCAAUCACAACUAGACAAAAACAUAACAGAACACUCCAAAAGGAGAGACAAAACACACACUCCAAAAGGAGAGACACAAACACCCAAAAGAUUGGGUUUUAUUGAAAAGAAAUUAACGAGAAUAAAGGAUAAACGAAGGGGUUGGGGCUUUCCACCGGAGAAAACCAGUGGAAGCCCCUUGAUUUACUUUAAAAUGGACAAACCCUAGAUGAGAGGAGAGGAGGGAAGCUCAGCAGGGCAAGAUUCUACUCUAUACUUCACUUUUUUACUUUAAAUAAGAUUCACUUAUAUUAAACUCAUCCAAACAGUCCCCUUAUCCUUUGAGUUUUUUAAGUAUAUUUGAGUAACGUUAUAGCAGAGGGAGCCUGUACUUACUGGAUGCUAUCCCAUUCUCAAGCAAACUGCAUUGUAAGACUUCAUUACUCCUUGUUCGUCUUAGGUGAUUAUUUUAGUACCUUUAGGUGGGUUGACCGGAUAGUAAAAAUUAUUAUUUUUAAUUGAUUUUUUUUGUGAAUUAAAAUUUUAUUUACAUAUUUUUGUUUAAAAAAAGAAAAUUUCAAAAAUAAUACUUUUAACUACCCGAUCAAAACAUGUGCCAAAAAAUCAAACGUCAUAUAUUAAAAAACAGAGGCACUAGAUAUACUCGCAAUCAAAACCACCCCACCUCACUGCUGUCCUAAAACCAAUUCUCAAAAACAACUAAGCAAGCAUCUUAGUCUUUAUUAAUCAUGCUUUUCCAAUAUCAAAACAUUAUUCAAUAUCAAUGAAUUAUCAAUUACUUCCGCUUUUUCCAUGAAAUUAUGUAUUUGUAUAAUUUUAAUUUAAAAAUAUUUUUAUAUGACUAAUUAAUAUUUAUUAUUUUAAUUUAAGUUAAAUAUAUUUACAUUUCGUUAUAUAAAAACUUCACUAAAAUUUAGAGCCUGUUUGCCAGGGUUUUUAAACCAUUUUCGACUAUAAGCUGAAAAAGUCUUUUUGUGUAAUAAGUUAGAAGUUGACUUAAAAUUAAAAAUAAGUUAGAAUUGACUUGAGCCAAAAAUUAGUUUGAAAUAUUUUUUUGAGUGACCUAAUGUUUUUAAACUUUUUUUUAAUUAAAGCUUACACAUAAGUUAUCACAAAAUCACUUUUAUUUUUAUUAUUAUAUUUUAGUAACUCAUAAAUAAUUAAUAAGAUAAAAUUAUCCAAACAGACGUUUUAAACUCCGAACUUAUAACAUAAGUCAUCUUAAGUCAUAAGUCAUCUUAAGUUAUAAGUUAUAAACUCCGCCAAACGGGUAUUUAUCAUAAUAUCACAAAUAACCCUAACCUAUACAAUUAAACACUCCAAAUUUACAAUUCCUACAAAAAUUUAGCUUAAAGAUUAUUUUUACUUGGAAUGUUGCAGUGAAUUUUUGGCAGAAUGACUCCUCCUAACUUACACUUUUGCUUCAUAUUGGUUGUCCAAUUUCAACAAAAAUAAUCUAAUUCUACAUUUUGCCAAAAUCACACCCUAGCUACCUAAAAAGUUUAACUAUAUUUUUUUAAAAAUUUAAUACAAGAAAAGCAGUAAAACAAAAUAUGAAAGCAGAAGCUUUGGGGCCGUUUGGCUUAACUUAAAAGAAGUUACUUAUUGUUUUUAAGUGAUUUCUUGAUUAAAAGUGAUAAGUAAUUUUGUACUUAUAAGCUGUUUAAGUGUUUGGAUAAAUUCAUUAAAAUUCACGACUUAUUAGGUAUAAAAAUUGCAAAAAUAAUAAUAAAAUAUUAUAAACUAUCUUUUAGAAUGAUCAUACACAUCGUUGUGAAGUUAAAUUUCGAAAAAAAAAUACGUCAAGAAAAAAGCUAGCAUUUCUAACUUCCAAAACUCCAGCUUAUAAGUCGCCAGAAGUGCUUAUAAUUUCUUUACCCAAACACUACGAAAUAAAUAGAAGUUGACUUAUAAGCUAGAAGCUGGGCUUAAAAGCCCAGCCAAACACCCCCUUUAUCUUUGCCAAAAUCAAGAAACUAACUAAAGUACAGUAUCAAACUUUAUCUUUUACAUUAAUUUACAAAACUUUGUCUUUUUAACUGUACUUGAGUGACGUUACAGCAGAGCCAGAUAGGGCUGAGCACGGGUCUGGAGAUUCCCGUACUGUCCCAAAUAACUGAACCGAAAGUUCCGAAAAAUUGAAAUUCCGUUGACUUUUGACUAUAUCUGUAUUGAACUGUACCGAAUUUUAAAAUAUGGGAUGAUUCUGGUUUAUAUAUAAGAACUGUACCGAGAAUUGUACCAAACUGUAUUGAACUGUACCGAACCGAAUAGAUGAAAAUUUGAUUGAUAUAUAAAAAAUAUAUAAUAUAUAUAGAAUAAUAAUAAUAAUAUAUAUUAUAUAUUAUGACAUAGUUUGAUAUACAUAUUGUUUUCUUUUUAUUUUUGUGUUUAAUAACUAAUAUCAAAUUUCACAAAUAUGAUGUAAUAGCACAAUAUUUGUGAUUUUAAUCACUUUUGUGAUAUAAUAUAUAUCAUGUAAUUGAAAUUCAUAUAUCAAUGAUAUAAUUAUUUAUUGACUUUUUAGAUAUAUUGAUUAAAUAUCAUUCAUCAAUCAUAUCACUUUUUUUAUUAUUUCUUUUGCUUGAACUAGUUUUCUAUUUUGCUUCUUUAUUUACCAAGUAUAACUUGGAAUUUUAUUGUAUAGAUUUAUCACUUUUUUGAUAUUUACUUUUUUUAAUAUAUUUUAUUAAGAGUACCGAAUAUCUGAAACCGUCCCAUCUUGUCCCGAAAAUUUGGAACAAUACAAUACGAAUAUAUAUAAUAAUGGUACAAUUUUGGUUCUCAACAUUUUGAAUAUCCGAAAAUUGAGAUGGUUCUGGACAUCUCGGGAACCCCGGCAUUACCCGUAACGUACUCACCCUUAGAGCCAGACUGUACUCGCCGGAUGCUAUUCCCAUUCUCAAGCAAACUGCAUUAUGAAACUUCGUUCCUUCUUCUUUUCGUCUUGAUCUACUUGGAUGGCGCUUGCACCUAAGCGAUUGGGUGGCGCCUAAGUAACAUGGUUUGGCUUACAUAGUAUGUUGACUUAGAGCAAGUCCAAUAGGUUACCUAUCCUAUUACUUAUAAAUAAUAUAAAAUAAUGAGUGCUAGUAUGUCUUAGUGAUUUAGAUAAUCUAUCUUUAGUGUCAACUCCAAUAGUAAUCCCUAUAUUUGUUCUCCUAAGAUUAUUUUAAUAAUAAAUUUGAGAGAGAGAAGGGGAAAAGGAGAGAAUAGACAAAGAAAGAAGGAGAGAGAUGAUUAUUUUAUUCAUAAAUAUUAUAUAGGUAAUGGCUAGGGGUUACUUAUAAAUAGGUAACGGCUAGAAAAAUUAAGGUUGUGCUAGUGAUUUAGGAUAACACUAGGAUAGUGUUGGAGUGCAUUUUUUUGACACAUUACCUAAAUGUGAGUUUAGGAUAUCAUAUAAGUAACCUAUUGGACUUGCUCUUAAUAACUAGACCAUUGCUUAUAUUCAUGAGAAUAUAUCAUUAUGUUCUUGAUGUGGUAUAAAGGUGGUCUAAAGAAAAUAAGAUUUAAACUGAUGACGGGACGGCGUCAUGGACGUUAGCGAGGAGCUCCAGGAUGCUAGCAAGACGCUGCUGGCUUAUAUUCUACUUAGAAAGAUAAGGUAAGAAAGGCGCUAGCAAGGCGUCUGGGGAUUCACAAGAGAUGUAUGGCCAAAAUCAACAAGUUUUUGUUAAACAUUGUAUCGACUCUUAUUAUAUAUUCUUAUCCUUACUCUUUUCUUUUAACGAUAUGUGUUGGGAGUUUUUCAAUUCAAUAUAGAAGUUGUAUUAUACCACAUUGAAAAGACAAUGAACCCAUUUCAACUUGUUGCUUGGAUUGGACAAUUCUAUUUGUCCCAUAUCAAGGAGGUUUUGAAAGAGCUCUCCUCUCAAGUUUAUAUAAUGUUAAUAGACUUUAUUCGUUUAGAAUAUUAAAGAAAACUCACUCCUUCCCAUAAUUAAAUAUUUGUAUUUCUAUCAAGGAAAAACAACAUACAUUUCUCUAAAAUAAAUAUAUCAAAAUAAUACUCAUCAAAUACAUAAAAAUUAUGUAUUAUCCAAAUAAAAUGAAUUCAGGAUAUUACAGCAAGUCACUAAAUAUAAAAUGACAGUAUGUCCCUCACACCUUCAGUGACAUGAGAUCACUAAUAUUAUAUUUAAUUUAUCUCGGCCAAUUAAGAACAUAUAUCUCGGCCAAGAACAUACAACAUCAACAACGCCAGUAAAUUUCAUCCGGGACAUGAAAUCAUUAUAGUGUGUCCAAUAAAAUAUAUUUAUCGUAUUAUUUUUAUUUUGAAAAAAAAUCAUAAUAUUUAUAAAAAUUGUAAUUUCAUGAUAAUAAAUUUAAUCUUUUCAAUCUAGAUAAUUAUUUUGUUUAACUUAAAAACUCACCACUUAUAAGUAAUAGUAUAAUUUAAAAUAUUUUAUCAUCAUCCAAACAUAUUUUGAAAAAAUAAUUUUACUUACAAAUAACUAAAAUAUUGGUCAAACCACUAGUUGACUGUUAAAAUUUCAAACGAAAAAAAAUUAUUUUUUUUCUGAAAUUUUUGUAAUAUCAUCAAAAUAUAUAAAUCUUGAUAUCAAUACGGUUAGUUCAUCGAGAAAUAUUUUUAAAAAAUUGAAACAACAGUACAUGAUAAAAUACUACUCCCUCCGUUUUUGAAUAUCUGUCUUUUGACUUUUUAGCACACAUUUUAAGGUGUUUUGACAACAUAGUUAGAAAUGUUAUUUUCAAGUAUUUUUUUUUUGUAAAUAAAAGUAUUGAUAUAAUAUUUUUAUUCAGAAAAAGAAAAUUUUAAAAAUAAUAAUUUUAACUAUAUAGUCAAAACACUUUAACAUGCGUGCCAAAAAGUCAAAAGGCAGAUAUUUAAGAACGGAUGGAGUAUUUAGAAGUACUAGUCAAAUCACUAGUUGACUAUUAAAUUCUCAAGUUGACUAUUAAAUUUUCAAUCAAAACAAUGUUAUUUUUUUCUGAAAUUUUUGUAAUAUCAUCAAAAUAUAUAGAUCUUGACAUCCAUACGGUUGGAUCAUCGAGAAAUAUUUUCAAAACAAUUGAAAUACCAAUACAUCAUAUAACACUAGUUAUAAGUACUAGUCAAACCAUUGUCUGAUUGUUAAAAUCUCAAACGAAUCAAAGCUAUUUUUCUAACAUUUUCAUAAUAUCGCUAAAAUAUAUAGAUAUUAACAUCCAUAUGGUUGGAUCAUUCAGAAAUAUCUUUAAAAAAAUUGAAACACUAAUACAUGAUAAAAUACUUCUUAGAAGUACCAGCCAAACCACUAGUUAACUGUAAAAUCUCAAACGAAACAAAUUUAUUUAUUUCUGAAAUUUUUGUAAUAUUAUCAAAAUAUAUAGAUCAUGACAUCCAUACGGUUGGAUCAUCGAGAAAUAUUUUAAAAAUAAGUCAAAUAGCGAUACAUUAGAAAACACUAGUUAGAUUAUUAGUCAAACGACUAUUUGACUAUUAAAAUCUCAAACGAAUUACAAAGUUAUUUUUUUCUUGAAAUUUUUGUAACAUCACUAAAAUAUAUAGAUCUUAACAUCCAUAUGUAGGGGUGAGCAAAACCGAAUCGAAACCGUAAAACCGAACCGAAUAAUAAAAUUUCGGUUCGGUUCGGUUCCAUUUUUUCAAGAAUUUCGGUUAAUUUGGUUUUUCGGUUUGAACCGAAAAUAAUUUCGAUUUGGUUCGGAUUUUGAUAUAAUAUUUCGGUUCAAAGCGAAAUAACCGAACUUUUUAUUACAUAUAAUAUAAAUAUAUUUUAUGUAUAUUAUUCCUACUGUAUUUUUCCUUGCAUUCCCUUUCUCUCUAACACUUUCCCUCCAUUCUUUCCCAGAACCCCAUCAAGCACAAUCUCCACUCUCGCCUCAACCCAUAUUCACCCAUCUUUCAAAAAGCCUCAAAAAAAUUACACUACCCCAUAAUCAAACCAUUCAAGACCCAUCAAUCUCUCAAGAAGCCACAUCAGAAAUCGAAGCGAAACACCUGCACCCCCAAGAACUAGAAAGUUACCUACUUUCUGAAAUUGGAGCAUAAAUCAAGAAGGCAAUGAAAGAAACUAAGAAAGAGAUGAGAGUAAACUAGAAAGUGAUGAUUUAUUCAAAGGGAUGGGUGAAGAGAUUAGAGAGAUAGAAUGGUCUGCUUUUAGUAAAGUGGUGAAUACUGCUCAUAUUGUGGUGGGUGUUAUCGCAAAGAGGUUUUCAAAGAUUUUUGGAUGAAAUCAAUGAAUGUGAUUAAAAAUUUCGGUUUUUUUUAAUGAAACCGAAACCGAACCAAAAUAAUUCGAUUGGUUCGGUUCGGUUGAAAAUAAUAAUUCGGUUCGGUUUCAGAAAAAAGUCUGGUUCGGUUUUCGAUUUUUUCGGUAACCGAACCGACAUAAUGCUCAGCCCUAUCCAUAUGGUUGGAUCAUUCAGGGCCGGCUCUACUAUAAAGCAAACUAAGCAGUGGCUUAGGGCCCUCAACAUAAAAUGACCCCAAAAUUUUUAAAGCCUUUUUAUAUAUAUGUAUACACAAAAAUUAGUAUUUGUUUUAUACAAAAACUUUUUAAAAACAAAAUUUUAUCAAAAAAUUUUAUUUUUUAAUAUAUUUAAUUAAUAUAAAUAAAAUUGAUUCAUAAUUUAAAAAUGAGCAUAAUUCAAUUAUUUAUCAUCUUUUUGAAAGAUAUUUGAAAUAUAAAUUAUUUAUAUUAUUUUAUUAUAAAUAAUAUUUAUCAUAUCUAUAUACUUAUUUGUUCAAAAAAAUAAAAUAUAUAUCACGAAUAAUUGUGAUGAAAAAUAUUAUUACAUUUAUUAACAUGUAUCAUGUAUUAAAUAUAUAGAAUCAAAUACAAAAAAUAAUAACAAAUCUAAACGAAGUCUAAAAGACGAGUAUGAGUCAUAAAUAACUUGCCUAGGUAAGAGUCUUUUUAUUAAUAAAUCUAUAUAAUAUUUAAAAAAAAAUAUAUAUAUAUAUAUAAAUAAGGGUCUCAUUUUUAAGUUUUACUUAAGGCUCCAAAUUUAGUUAAGCCGGCCCUCAGAUCAUUCAAAAAAUAUUUUCAAAAAAAUUGAAAAAUCAAUACAUGAUAAAAUACUAUUUUGAAGUACUCGUCGAACCGCUAGUUGACUAUAAAAAUCUCAAACAAAACAAAGUCAUUUUUUUCUGAAAAUUUUAUAAUAUCAUCAAAAAUUAUAGAUCUUGACAUCCAUACGGUUGGAUUAUCGAGAAAUAAUUUUUAAGAAGCUAUAAUAGCAAUACAUCAUAAAACACUAGUUAGAAUUAUUAGUCAAACAAAUAGUUUACUGUGAAAAUCUCAAAACAAAUAAAUUUAUAUUCUUAUAAAAUUGUUAGUAAUAUCACUAAAAUAUAUACAUCUUGACAUCCAUAAGGUUAGGACAUCGAGAAAUAUCUUAAAAAAAAUAAUAAAACAACAAUACUUGAUAAAGUAUUUCAAUAAUGUGUGGGUCACCAGAUGUUACUGACAUAGCGCGUGUUUGGAAGAAAGAAGUAACCACUUCUUUUAAGUAGGGCUGAGCAUUCGGUCGGUUCGGUUCAAAACCGAACAGAACCGAAAACCGAAUUGGGCUUUUUUCUGAAACCGAACCGAACCGAAUUAUUAUUCUGGACCGAACCAAACCGACCGAAUUAUUUCGGUUCGGUUUCGGUUUAAAAAACCCGAAAUUUAUCACCUUCCACUAUUCUGGCUGAUUUGAGAAUACCAGACGUCUCAAAACUUGAAAGCAAAACUUAUCCCCGGAUGAAGAUCUAUACUCUAUACAACCUUCCCCACUCAAGAUCUGUUAGGUCCCGAUAGAUGGUUUAAUUAAGCUAGAAGGGGGGGAGGGGGUUGAAUAGCUUAAUCACCAAUUAAAAAUAUUUAUUUCGUUUUAAAAAGUUUUCACCCCUUCUUUAGAUCUUGUAUCGAGAGUAUUGGCAGUUACGUGCGGAAGUGUAAGAAAAGAAAAGGAAAAUAUCACACGAGAGAUUUUAUCCUGGUUCGUGGUGGCUAACUCAACCCUUGGAGUCCACUCACCCCUAGUCCAGUCCCCGAGCUCCUCCCCGGACUCGAGAUUUUCUCUACUAUAAAGAAACUCCUUUACAGUAGGCGGAGAAGCCUUUACAAAUAUAUAUCUUGGAGCGUAACUCUUUGUCACCUCCUCACUAUAAAUGUAACCUUACAAGACUCGUCUUGGAGCGUAACUACCCGUUACCUCCUCAAAGUCGUUGUACCUAAAAGUGGUCUUUGUACUUCCAAACCUUUUGCCGGUCUUGGAUCUUAGGUAUUAGGUCUUGGGUCUUUCCUCUUCUUCACGGUGCGAUGACUAUCAACUCCCCGUCAAUACGUCAAGGACUUGGGUCUUAGAACGAAGAUCACCUCACUUCACUUCACCUCACUGCAAAAGUUAGAACACAAUAUCCACAAACAAAUAUAUCCUUGUUUUAUAAAAGUUUUGGUUCCGCAAGUUUUAGUCCGAUUUUAACCACGUUGAAAUUAGUCGAUUAUAACGUUUUAGUCGGUGGUUAAGUCGUUGGUUCAAUUUUAACAAAUUAUAUCGCGCGGAGAAAUAUAAGUUGUUGAUUUUAAUAAAAUCGAGUGAUGAGUGAGUUUUGAAAAGACGGAGUCGAAGUCGAGCACAAGUUAUAUCACACACACUCACACGUACGUAAUUGAACCAAGUAGCUUGUUCGGUUAGUACCCCACGAUAGCGAAAAGGCCCAAACGGGGUUUUUCACCGAAACAAGUAAAAUCACACCCAACACACACGUUCGGAAAAUAAACACGUAAACCACGUAUCUUAUCUUAAUGAUAUCCCCACCAAGCACUAGGCUGAAAAAUGGGUGUUUCACUAAAACAAGAAGGGUAUGGGAGUGAUGGGAAUGGGAGCACAAAUAUGAGUUAGUGAGCAAGUAAAGUUAGUGCACAAUAUUCCCGAUAAUAACGAGUGGCCAACUCGAGUAUUUUGAAAUCAAGAGAGCUUAAGAUGACGAGAAAUUUAGUUUAAAAGCCCUUUGAAAAUGGUCGGUUAAGACACGAAUAAAUGAAGCUAAAAGUAACCACUUACACGAAAGUUCGCCGGAAAAAUUCGUCGGAGGUUCGAUACGAUUUUAAGCACACGAACGAAUUUGAGCAGCCCUUCGGGAGGUUGAAAAGAGUGGUUUAUGAAAAUGUUAAGAUGAACGAAGCUUGGUUGGGUGGAACGAAGCUUCGGGGUUUAAAACCUUGUAUAUAUAGGAAUAUAGGAAGAAUCGAAGGUUUUAAAGAUGAAGUAGAAGAAGUGGGCACUUGAAUAAACUUUGGGAGAGUGUUUCUUCUCUAAAAUCUCAGCAAGUAUUUGGCUAUUAGCUUGAAAAAAAUGAAUGGGGGGAGGGUAGUAUUUAUAGGCCAAAAUGGGUGGGUUAAAUGUAAGAAAAGUAGAAGUAAAAAUGCAAAUGGUAAUUAAUCAAACAUGGUCACCACUCAACUUUGUCCCCUUGUCCCCCACACUCAAAAAGGUGAUUUGACCAGCAUCUUGGACCAAAAAAUCUGUGCAAUUAAUGCACUAAAAGACAGACACGCUUUAUGAGAUAACGAAUAAAUCCGUUACAUUAAAAACGCGAUAUUUGAAAUAUGCGAAAUAAAUUCCGCAAAAAAUAUGAUAAAUCUUAGAAUAUUAGAAAAUAAUAUUCUGGAAAUAUUGGUAAUUUUUUGUCAACCCUAACUAGGUCAAACGUUCAGCCAGCGAACGGGUCAGUAGUCAGAAAAUGCUCCGAAAUGAAAGUUCUCGGAAAAUUACGAAAAUUUAACCAUGCACUAAGAAUAAUAUUUAAUUGGCUAAUCUCCAGUUUCAAGUCAUUUGGACAAGUGGAAGUAUUUUAUUUGAAUUUAAAAUGAUAAAUCAGAUUUUCGGGUUCCGAAUAAAAUACGAUAAUUCUUUUAAAAUUAUCGACGAGGGAUUUUGGCCAAACUUAAAACUUGAAUAAAUACUUAAAAUAUAUUCCCAUAAAGAUAAAAUACUUUUGAGGGUCGGGAAUAAUUUUAAGGUAUUUAAACCGAUUUUCUAGUAUAAAAGCCGUUUUACAAAAAACCGAAACAAUUCGUCUUUUGAAAAACCGAGAGGGAUAAUUGACGAAGGUUUUGAUACCAAAAUACUUAGAAAAAUAUUGUUCAUGAUAAAUCAUGAAUUUGAUAUGUUGAAAGAGCUUUCUAAGUAUUGCGAAUAUUUUUCUCCGAAAAAUACUAAAUUUGAGAGACCGGGAGAAAAUAUUCCAGAUGAGGUAUAAAAAGAGAUUAAUAUUUUUAGAGACAAAUAUUAAUAUGAAGAGAAUAAAUCCUUACUUGGAUAAAAUAAAUCUUGAGGAAUGAAGGAUUUAAUAAUUUUGAAAGAUUUAAAAUAAUUUAUUCCGAGAGAUAGUAAAAUGUUUAAAUAUGGAAUAAAUUACUUCAAAUAUACAUUUUGUAAAUAAUGUAACAUGAGUAUUCUAAGGAAUAUCAAAUCUUGAUAAUCCUUUUUCGAGCUUCAUGUAAUUUAAUGUUGCAGUAGCAAGAAAGAGGUAAUCGUAGACUCACGAAACGCCUCGGCGCCACUAUUGCAUAAUCAGAAAAUUUCCUUUAAAAUAAAUGUAUUUUGAUACGAAGGAAUAUUUAGAGAUUAAAAUUACUUGCCAAAAAUAACUUUCCACUUUUAAUUAAUCAAAUAAAUUAAUGACCUAUUAGGGAGGAUUACUAAGUGAAUUUAAUUUUAAUGUUUGUCACAAAUACCGAAACAAAUAUAUAAAUAAAUAUAUAUCGAAAAUAUCCUUUCAAGAUCCAUUCAAACCAUCAUACAAUAUAACAGAUAUUCUGAAUAGAUAGAACCUGCAUAGUUAAACUAGAUUCUGAAUAGAUUAGUGUUAUCGAUUACUCUAUUAGAGACUUCAGUGUUGCUGGAGAAUGAAUCGAAGAGCCGCGGCCGAGCUUGCCAUAUUUGUGUUGGUCAAGUAAGGACGUAAGGUUAGGACAUUAGAUAUUUGGAUUCAAUGGCUAUCUGCACUGUAUACAUAAUAUAUUUGUUUUAUGUUUAUAAAAACUUUGAUUAUUUCGGUUUAAACCGAAAUGUUAUAUCAAAAACCAAAUCAAACCGAAAAACCGAAUUAACCGAAAUUUUAGAAAAAAUGAAACCAAACCGAACCGAAAUUAUACGGUUCGGUUCGGUUUUUCGGGUUCGGUUCGGUUUUGCUCACCCCUACUUUUAAGGAUAAGUGUGCUUCUGGAAUCUGAGGUUGGUUUGGCUAAAAAAGCCGGAGCGCUUUUUUCUCAAUUCCAAAGUCGGAACUCGGAAGUGAGAAGCUUCGUUUCUUUACUUCUCUUUCGCGCUUCUCACUUUUUUUUUGUCAGAAACAGAACUAAGCAGUCCGCACUCUCUCUUGUGGCUGUCUUCCUCCCCUUAUCCGGCCUCACUACAUUAUUUUAAAUUCUGAAAUAAAUGGAAAAAAAUACUUUUCAAUUUAAUUUAACUUGUUACCAAAUUAUUUUAAUUAUUUUGUAUUUCAAUUAUUUUGUGUCAAAGUUUAAUUAUUUUGUAUCAAGUUUUAUUACUUUUAAAAUAUAUUUCAAUUAUUUUGUAUUUUCAUUUGUAACCAAGUUUUAUUUAUUAUCAAUAACAAAAAUUUAAAAAAAUAUAUUUUAUAAUACCAAACACUCCACAAACUUAUAAGUUAAAGUUACCAAACACUUUAACAACUUAAAAAUUUUACUUCUACUUCUCACUUCUACUCCACUUUUUUAGUUUAAGCAAGUCACCUCUUUUAAGCUUGUCCAAACGGCCCAUAAAAACACUAAUUUCACCUUCACCUAGGGCUGAGCAAAACCGAACCGAACCGGAAUAACCGAACCGAAAAAUAACCGAACCGAACCGUCGAAAUUCGGUUCGGUUCGGUUUGGAAUUUUUUAAAAUUUCGGUUAGUUCGGUUUUCGGUUUUAACCGAACUAAAAGUUCGGUUCGGUCCGGAAAAAAAUACUUUUCAAUUUAAUUUAACUUGUUACCAAAUUAUUUUAAUUAUUUUGUAUUUCAAUUAUUUUGUGUCAAAGUUUAAUUAUUUUGUAUCAAGUUUUAUUACUUUUAAAAUAUAUUUCAAUUAUUUUGUAUUUUCAUUUGUAACCAAGUUUUAUUUAUUAUCAAUAACAAAAAUUUAAAAAAAUAUAUUUUAUAAUACCAAACACUCCACAAACUUAUAAGUUAAAGUUACCAAACACUUUAACAACUUAAAAAUUUUACUUCUACUUCUCACUUCUACUCCACUUUUUUAGUUUAAGCAAGUCACCUCUUUUAAGCUUGUCCAAACGGCCCAUAAAAACACUAAUUUCACCUUCACCUAGGGCUGAGCAAAACCGAACCGAACCGGAAUAACCGAACCGAACCGUCAAAAUUCGGUUCGGUUCGGUUUGAAAUUUUUUAAAAUUUCGGUUAGUUCGGUUUUCGGUUUUAACCGAACUAAAAGUUCGGUUCGGUCCGGUUUCUGAAAAUCAAAAGUUCGGUUUAACCGAAAUAACCGUAAUUUUUUAUAUAUAUAUUUUUAAAUUAUAUUUAUAUUUUGAUACAAUUAUAUUUAUACAUCGGAGUAUAGUUUCUGAUUUCACUGCGUGGGGGUCUAAUCUUAACCUGGGGUAGGCACUAAACAGCAAUAAGCGUACACAUGGUUUUGGACUAGAUCUUCAUCUGCUUCUCCCACCCUAUCUCCUGCUCCUGCCUUAACUCCUAAACUCAUCCCCUAUUUACCACCUCUAUCAAAUCCAACUCCCCCCUUCAAAAUUUCGCCCCAAAUCCAAACCCACUAGAACCCCCUUCCUUCUGCGAGCCAUGAUCGAGAAAGAAAUCCCCCAAACUCACCGAUCCGACACUUUCCUCAGAGAUUAUGACGCCUCCUCAUAGUAUUCUUUUUUUUAAGUAUUCUUUUUAUUUGUGUUUUAAGAUUCUUUUUUUUAAUAUAUAAAGUUCGGUUUUAACCGAACCGAACCGAAAAUACUUCGGUUUUUUCGGUUCGAUUCGGUUCGAUUUGAAAGGGAAGUAUGGUUCGGUUCGGUUUUCAAAAAUAUGAAAGUUCGGUUUUCGGUUAUUUCGGUUCGGUUCGGUUUUCCACCGAACCGACCGUUUGCUCACCCCUACCUUCACCUUCAAUGUUGACUUGGGACUUGCAACACUGAGUCACAAUGAGAUCAAAUAUUGAUUCCUGGUUUGGCAGAGGAAACAGUACCAUAUCAGGUUCAUUGUCGAUGUCAUCCGCUUCAUUCUCGCUUCUGAAAACUAGAAACUAAAAUAAAUUCAGAGAUGAUGACACAUGAGCUCAUGACAGGUUAGAGAAGAAAUGAUGUGAAUAACAAAGUAAAAACAAUUAAAAGAUCAGUUUUUUUAGUGUGUGCCCAUGGACACAUGUUAAGCGCGAGAUUUUAUAUGUUUGGCUCAUUUAUAUUGGCUUUCAUAUCUUAAUAAUGGUGGACCCCCUGCAGAUGCAACCACCACACCGAUCAAAAUCUCUCAAACAUAUAAAAUUCCGCGCUUAUCAUGUGUACAUGGGCACACACUAUACAAACUCCUAAGGGGUCGUUUGGUUGGGUGGUAUGGGGAAUCAGGUAUGGGUAUGAAAUCAGCCAAACCCAUACCUAGUGUUUGGUUGAAUUUUUUUAAUGUUCAUACCCAUACCUCAAACCCCAAGAUCAUGACUUUUUGAAACCCAAGUGGAGGGGUGCGUAUGAGAUGCUGGUAUGGGUAUCAGUAUUAAUAUUCUUUUCUUAUAUUUCGAAAAAAUAUUAAUAUUAAUUAAAAAAUAUUUAUAUGUACAAAUAAAUGUUCUUAAUAAUAACAAAAAUAUUUAUAAAUUUUUUAUUUAAUAAAGUAAUUUAAUUUAAUCAAUAACAUGAUAAUAUUUUAAAUUAAAUAGAUUCAUUCCAACACUCAACCAAACACAAGAUUUCAGGAAUGAUACCUUAAUCCCAUACCACCUCAAACCCAUACUUAAUUCCAACCCGAUACCGCUCCACGAACCAAACGACCCCUUAAAUAUACUCACACCAUGGUUAUUGUGGAAGUAGAACAUUUUAUGUGCACAAAAUAUGUGCACUUGUGGCAAUAAUACACCCAGUAGCUGGGGUAAACAUGUCCGCGGCAGAUACCACGGAUUGCCGAAGAGCUCAAACACUGAAAUCAUUUUUGGUUGCGAGAAGCGAUUUAAAAAUGGGUUUCAAGGUUCUCAGUGGCCUAACAAUUUUGUUUCUUGGGGUUCCAGGGUUGUGUUGAGAUAUUAUAAGGAGGUUCUUUUCUCUCAAUUUCCAACUCCUUUCUUGAGAAUACAUGUCCUUUAUUUAUAUUAUUUAUACUUCUUUAGCACUUGUGUGUAGUUUGGACCACAUGUCCUUGGACUCGUAAAUGAGUUUAUAGUCUAGUGGGCUGAAGCCCAACUGGUUGAAAAGAUUAAAUACUCCCUCUGUUUUUUUUUAUAUGACACUUUUGACUUGGGCACGUAUCUUUAGGUGGGUUGACCGGGUAGUAAAAAUUAUUAUUUUUAAUUAAUUUUUUUAUGAAUUAAAAUUUUGAUUAUAUAUUUUUAUUCAGAAAAAGAAAAUUUCAAAAAUAAUAUUUUUAACUACCCGGUCAAAGCAUUUAAAAAUGUGUGCCAAAAAGUCAAACGUCAUAUAUUAAAAAAUAGAGGGAGUAACACGGAAAAACUGAACUAACAAUAUUAAACAGGCUGAUCAAUUUAUUUGAGCCUUUUGCUCAUUUCACAUAUAUUAAGGAGUAUUAAAUAUAUUUUUUUUCGUCUCAUAUUUAUUGUGUUGACUUACUAUAAUACUACUACUCCCUCCAUUUCAAAAUAAUAGUCACUUUGACUUUGUGCACGUAUUUUGAGAUGUAAAAAAAACAUACUUCUAUACAUUAUUUUUGAAAUUUUCUUUUUCCGAAUAAAAGUUUAACAUCUCUAUUUUUAUUCAGAAAAAGAAAAUUUCAAAAAUAACAUUUAGAAGUAUGUUUUUUUUGCACCUCAAAAUACGUGUACAAAGUCAAAGCGACUAUUAUUUUGGAAUGGAGGGAGUAUUAGAUAGAUGGUAUAUUGAAAAUGAUAAAUAAGAGAGGGUAAAGUUGAAAAAUUGUUGAUAAAUGCGUACUGAAAAUAAAGAGGUUCAAUUUUUGGAAUAAUUUUUUCAUAAAAAAGAUCAUAUAAUUUGGGAUGAAAGUAGUAUACUUUAUGUUGUUUAUUUCUUGGAGUGAACAGUGGAGUAAAAUCUGGAUCACGGUUUUUUUCGAACUCACCAUUCAGUCAUUCACAUGCUAUUUCUCAUUUCUGUAUCUCGAGUGAAGUGCCCUUGUCUUAUUCAACUUAAUUACUCCCUCCGUCCCAAAAAACAUUUCCCGUUUGAUAUGUCGAGACUGUUCAUAAUAUGAGACAAAUUAUUAAUUUACGUCUAAUCUACAAGAUUCGUAUUAACAAGUACUUUAAUACGGUGAAGUUUUUAUAUUAAUACUAAUACAAAAUUAAAUAUAUUAACGAUGAAAAGUGUGUGUUGGCAAACGUGAAAAGAGGAAAUGGGAAAAAUAUUAUGGAACGGAGGGAGUACUGUACUUGUAAAAACAGUUCACUUGGGGUCUAUUGAAGGGCUCCAACUGACCUUGCAUCCCUUUGAUAAUUUGACAGCCAGUAGGGUCGGCUCAACUGCUCAAGAUAUUAUGUGAUUUAAGGACAUCGAGGUUAUUAAUUUAGAAAUUUUAAUAUUAUUACUCUAUCUUCCAUUAUUGAAUACCGCACUCAACAGUCACAUCCCACUUAUAUUAUUCCAUCAUCCCGUUUUAGUUGUCAUAUUUUUAUUUUAUCGGUAAAAUUGACUAAUUUUUGACUAAAAAUUAUAAUUCCGUCUUUUAUUUUUUUAAACUAAAAAUUACAUAUAAAAUUAUCUCAUACAAAUAUAAAUUAACCAAAUAUAUUAUACAUAGCAUAAUCUUCAACAUCCGGGACAAUAUCAAAAUCUUACAAAUAUAAAACUGGCUAACAUCUUGAACAUAAAUCACUCCACAUCAAGCUCACUAAAUUUCUUCUUUCUUUGUAAAAAUCAUUUUGUUAAUAUCAAAAUAUGAAUUUAUCAGAGGGAUAAAACCCAACUAUACGAUUUCAUGAAAAAUGUUUCAAAAAUACAUAAAAGAUUAACAAAGAGCUGAUCAUAAUACAUGAUGUUGCGAACAAUAUAACAAUCCUACUAAACAAGCACGAAAAAAAAAAUCAAAAUUAAUACGUGACCUAAAGGACUAGACAAGAAGUUAGUACCACACCAAAUAGUUCUGCCUUAAAAAAUAAUAUAAUUUCAUAUUUUAUUUUUAUUUCAUUUAAAAUUAUGAUCUAUUAUUGGUAAAUAAUUUUUUUCAUCUUUACAAACUAAUAAUUAAAAAGGUCUCGUGCAUUGCAUGGGCUAUAUAAGCUUGUACUAUUAAAACCGAAAUAUUAAAAAUUUGGUCCGUCGGUCGGUGCUUGGGCCGAAUUAUGGGCCUACUUAUAUAAUCAAUUAUCCUUUUUAACUAAAAUUGUUAUCUUUUUUUUAUAUAUUUUUUGACUGAAAAAACUCAAUUUUCUAAAAAUAUCAUUUGGACAACAUAGUACUUACCUUUUUUUAACUAAAACACAUUAUUUUUUUCAUCCUAACUAAAAAACUGAUUUUCUAAAAAUAACCGAUUUUCUAAAAAUAACACAUGCAACAUACAUAUAAAAAAGAUAAUAUUUAUUAUAAUAUAAGUAUUAAUGUACAACAUAUGAUAUGUUUCAACUAAAUACAUUACUGUUAUUUUUAAGUACUCUAUGUUUUCACAUUAAAAGUAAUAUCAUAAAUCUAUAUUAUCUAUUUAUACUAUAUUAUAUUAUAUUAUUAUUAUUAUUAUUAUUAUUAUUAUUAUUAUUGUUAUUCUAUUAAAACUGAAAUAUUAAUAAUUUUAUUGAUCGGUCGAGUUUUGUGAGUUUUAUCAGCCGAUCGGUAUUAUUCUACUGAUCUCCUUAAUAUAUAACAUGUUCUAAUAAAUCUUUUUAUUAUCAAUUAAACUAAAACAUUUAAAAAUUUGGUCACUAUGAUCAGUGUGUAUUUCCAUUUAAAUUUAAAAUAUAAAUAAUAAAAUUACAAGUGUUAUAGAUCAUCACGGAGUUCUAAUCAAGAGUAGAACCAUUUCUUUUUUAAACCCUAGGACAUUAUGUUUUACAAUAUAACUAAUAAGCAUAAUAAUAAUAUUUUGUUAAAGUAAAAGAUAAUAAUAAUUAACUAACAAAUAUUUUAAAGAUUAUUUAUAAAUGAUAAAUUAUAUAUAAAUUAAUAUAAUCAAAAUAUUAUUAUGAUUAAAAUAAAAUAUUAUGACGGAUAUUUCAAUACUCUAAUAUUUUGUAUGCUUAAUAGAAUUUCACGGGGUACAAGCAAAAGAAAUAAAUCAAAUGAACCGAAAAAUGCACAUUCUAACGAGAAGGACAAUAGUUUAUAUGAGUGCCAUCUGUUGUAACUUGCCCGAGAGUGGACACUCCAAACAUGAAAGAAGUCCACAACCAUCACAUUCCAGAAGAAAACAGUAGGAAUAGGAAAAAGUGAAGCACUGUGAACAAGUGUGUAUGGACUUCUUUCUUGUAGGCAUCUUCAUAACUAAUGCAAGUGUGUGUGGUUUAUCUGCAAUUAAAACUUUAAUCGUCCCUCCAAACUUGAUAUUGUGAACCAAAAACCCGCAAUAAAAGUGAUAAGAAUGUUCAGAUUCAGUGCAAUGGUAGAGCAAAUCUUGGUUGCUAACUCGUUCUUCACAGGUUUCACAGUAGAAUGCUCCUUCAUAGAAGAAUGGUGGAUAUCUCAAGGUUAAGGGGUGAGCAUCAUAUUUGUGUUCCAUCCUAUGUGGUAAAAUUGCACAAUAUAUAUGAAUCUGGAAACUACUGCAGGUUUCACAUCCAUAUUCCACCCCAACAUCAUUUCGAUACCUGGUUACACUGCAGGUAGAAUUCGAAGCUGGCCGCUGAACAAGGGUGUGAUGUUUGUGAGAUUUGUAUUUUAUUCUUGUUGGUAAGAAUGCACAACGGAUAUCCACAUAGAUAUCACAAUCCUGACAGUGAUAGUAGAAUCCAUUUGUCGAAAAGUCGCAAACUCCACAACGCACAAUAUCAUAAAAUUUAUGCUUCAUCUUAAGCAGGAGAGAAUGGCCGGGGUGAAAAUGCGACUCUCCUUCUGGCAACUUAUGUGGCAACAUAGUCGCACAGAAAGAAUGGAGAAAGAAACCACACUGGAUACAAGCGUAGUAAGAGGGACGGGAAACGGUUAUAGGUUGAAUACAUCCAUUGCAUAUCAGCUCUCUCCUAUCAUCAUCAUCACUGUCGUCGCUCUCGUUCUCACAGAUAGUAAACUGGAGCAGUUGUAAUGGAUGGAUCUGGUGACUCCAGUGUUUUUCAAUAAUGUGUGGAUCAUUAGAUGGUACUGACAUCGCAACGCUGAUUUCACCUUCACCUUGAAAGUUGACUUGGGACUCGCAACACUGAGUCACAAUGAGAUCAAAUAUUGAUUCCUGGCUUUGCAGAGGAAAUAGUGCCAGAUCAGGAUCAUAAUCAAUGUCAUCUUCUUCAUUCUCAUUUCUGAACACAAAAAAUUAAAAUUAAUUUAGAAAUGAUAACCCAUGAGCUCAUGACAAGUUAGAGAAGAAAUGAUGUGAAAAGCAAAGUAAAAACAAUUAAAAGGUACUCACACAAUGGAUAUUGUGGAUGUAGAACAUUUCAUGUGCACAAAAUAUGUGCACUUGUGGCAAUAAUACACCCAACUCCUGCGGUAAACAAAUUGGCGGCAGAUACCACAGUAUUGGGUAAAGACGAGAUGAAUGUCCGGAACAGAGUAGACGAGAGUGAGAGGGUGAUGGUGAUAAGUAGGAGAUGGAAUAAUCAAGGGGAAAAAGGCACAGGUCUUGUGAAUCCAGAACUCACAGGCGGUGCAAACAUAGGAAGAGUCGUUAGCUUUCUCAUGACAGGCAUCACACUCAAAAAAGGCUUCCUUGUUCAUUAAUGUCAGCGCGUGCUCCUUGUGUCCUUGAUGAUGAAGCACCCUCUGUUCCAAACCACAAAACACACACACAUCAAAGUUACAAUCAACACAUGCAUAAGAGACCUUAAUUUCACGAUAACAAAUAUCACAGGUGAAACUAGCUGCAGGGCGUGGAAGGCGAGAAAGAGGAUGGAUGGUGUGUUUAUGGUGGCUAAUUUGCUGGGGGAAUUCUGCACAAGUCUUGUGCAAGUAGAAAUUUUGACAAUCAACAUCGUCAUCACGACUAACACAGGUAUAUGUAGGAGAGCCUACGACUUGUUUUUUGCACAUAAUGCAAGCAGCAUCCUCACCAAAAAUAAAAUCCUCUUGUAGACUUAAUGAAUGUUCAUGUAGAUAAACAGAUAUGGGUAAUUCUGCACAACUUGACUUGUGCAGGUAGAAUCUGACAUUAAGAUCAUCGCGACUAGAACAGAAAUAUAGAUCAGAGCCUUGAGCUGGUUUGUUGCACGUAUGGCACAUACCAUCAUCUCCCUCAACAGUACACUCUAUAAAUGUGUGCCCCGAAUUGCUGAAGAGCUCGAACACUGAAAUCAUUUUUGGUUGAGAGGAGAGAUUUAGAAAUGGGUUUCAAGGUUCUUAGUGUCUUGUGCUUGGGGUUCUUACUUACUGCACAACUCAAAACACAAGAGACUUGCAAAAUAUCAUUGAAUAAUUUUGCAGUGGCCGUCCUACAAAUUAAAUAGACAGCAGAAAUGAAGGAAAAUAUUAAGUAUCUGAGCUACCAAUAUCUUGUACAAUAGGAGUAUCAUCUGUACCACUGAAUUGCAGUUCAGGCAAGCAUGGUCCUCGAAAUUAUUAGACCCACAGGCCCCUGCUAGAUUUUUUAUCUAACAACUAAGGUUUUGUCUUUGGCUUCACCACAUACCAAUUAACCUUUUAAUAUUUAUUUUUUACAUGUUCAAAUUUAAGGAGGCCUAUAAACUCAGAUAUAAACUAACCAAUUAACCUUUUAAUAUUUCGUUAUUAAUAAUUAAUAAUAUGAUAUAAAACAUAUUAUAAUUUAAAGAGACGCAUGAAACCAAAUACCGAUCCAUCAUACUAACCUAAAUUUAAUGUUUUGGUUUAAUAGAUAAUAAAAAAUAUACUAUAACAUGUUAUAAAUUCAAGAGCUCCAUGGGUCGAAUACCAACCAUUCACUAAACUCAACUAACUGACUACCAACUAACCUUUUUAUUUUCGGCUUUAAUAGUGUAAUAAUAUACAAUAUAGAUUUGUAAUAUUUCUGUUAAUGUAAGAUCAUUAGAGUAUUUAAAAAUAAUGUUAUUAAUGUAUUUUGGUUGAAUAAUAUCACAUGUUAUUUAUUAAUAACUAUAUAUAAUGAUAUUAUAUUUUUAUAUAUAUGUUGCUCGUGUUAAUUGUAAAAACUCGGUUUUUUUAGUUAGAAAAUCUAAAAAAGAUAAUGCGUUUUGAUUUAAAAGGCAAUUACUAUGUUGCUUGAUAUUAUUUUAGAAAUUUGAGUUUUUUUAGCUAAAAACUAUAUUAAAGAUAAUUUAUUUUAGUUAAAAAGAAUAAUCGGUUAUAUAGAUAGGCCGGUACUUCGGUCCAAGUACCGACCGCCCGACCAAUAUAACUCCUAUUUUAUAUUAUUUGACGUUUAGAUUUUUGGCACACAUCUUUAGGUUUAAAUAUGUCGUCCAUGUCCGUAUUAAUUAUUAAAGAUUAAUUUUUUAGUUAGAAAAUUUAUAAGAAAAUAAUAUUUUAUAGUUAAAAAAGUAAUUAUCAUGUUUCUCAAUGUUAUUUUAGAAGAUUGAGUUUUUUAGUUAAAAUAUAAAAAAGGUAAUAUAUUUCAAUUAAAAAGAAUAAUUGAUUAUAUAGAUAGACCCGUACUUUGGCCCAAGUUAAAAAAAUAAUUGGUUAUAUAGAUAGACCCAGAAUAAUUAGUUAUAUCGAUAGGCCCGUAUUUUGGCCCAAGUAUCGACCGACCGACAAAACUUUUAAUGUUUCGGCUUUAAUAGUAUAGUAUAUAUAGUUAGGUUUUAAAUUUGGAUUGUAAUUGGAUAAAUAUUAUUUACAAAUAUUUAGUAUCAUUUGUGGAGGUCAUUAUUGAUGACUUUAUUGUGCCGUUAAUGGCUUUCAGUGCCAUUUUUAUGGCUUGUGUUACCAUUUUUAUGGUCAUAAUAUAUAACUCUAUUUUUUUUUUUAUUUCUCAGUUAAAUUAUUAAAUUUUUAUGUGUCUUUAACCAAAGGAUUUUCCUUUGGUUAAAGAUUAAUUAAUAUUCAUAUAUAUAUAUAUAUAUAUAUAUAUAUAUAUAUAUAUUCUUUCAUUUUUGGCUUUUUAUUAGAUUUACAAUUUAUUUUAAUUAAUUAAAUUAUAUAUAUAUAUAUAUAUUAUAUACUUGUAUAUUGAUUUAUGUUUUGUUUUUUUGUUUUUUUUUUUCAGGAUAAGUUGGAAGCGAGGUGCACGUGACUUCCUUCAUGGGUAUUCUUUUCUCAUUCAUGUAAGCUUUAUUAUCUAAACAUCUCCGGAGUUGUGCUUGCAUCACUUUCGAUUAGAUGAUAAACUUUCUUGAAAGAAAGAUAUCCCGGAUACGGUUUAUUAUAUUUCGAUACAAUUCAUCUACAUGCAUAUAGACCUUAAAAAAAUAAAAAAAUUGGUAGUUUGCUAAUUCUUAUAUUUACUGAGUAUUGAUACUUUCCAAUAAAAUUACAUUAUAAAACAUUAAAUGAUCAAAUAUUAUUUUUUUAAUCUUUAUUAAUAAUUAAAAUCCUUUUUUAUAAUAUCAAAAUUUUAAUUGCAUAUUUUUGUAAUAAUUGUUAAUUCUGGUAUUUAAAGUAAAUAUUUACUUUCACAACUAUUAACAUUACUACACUUAUACAUUAUUUUUGAAAAAAAUUAUACUAAUAUGAUAUUAUUCAAAUUUGAUUAUUACUUAAAUUUUAAAUAACUUUAUUUUGAGAUAUAUUAUGACAUCAUAUUUUUUUCCAUCAUUGAAUCUAAAUUUAUUACAGUUAAUUUCAUAUUUAUUGAUUCAAAAACAUCUACAACUACACUAGUUAUUCCUCCUUAUAAUAAUUCAAAACAUUACAAAAAUAAUAAAAAUCAUAUAUGUGUGUAUAUAUGCUGAUACGUUAUAAUAUUGUACUUACUUUAUUAAUCCAUUUAACUUUUAUAUAUUUUUACACACAACAUUGAUUUAAUAGAAUUUUAUUAUAACACUAACCAGUAACCAGUUACUAUAUGGGUUAUUUACUCUGCCUUGUUCCCGCUGUUAGUUUAGCCCAAAGAACAUAGAUGAAAAAACCGGUGAUUCAAGUAUAAACACAUGCAUAGGCUACAAACAGAAAAAAAGUUUUAAUUAUCAAAAUCACUGACGUCGACAAAUGGUAUCAACUUCAUCACUGAUCUUCACGGAUCUCAAGUGGCUCAUUAAACUCGUAUCAAACUCAUCACUGCCGUUAAAAAAGUAACGGAAGGAUAGACGGAAUGACACAUUGGACUUAGGGUUUGACAUGUGGCAGACCACAUAAUUUGAAGUUUAUAUGGAAAUAAAAGUAUGCAAUCUUUUUAUUAAAUUAAUUUUAUGAUAUAAUUAUCUAAAUAAAUGCAUGGAACUAAAUUUUAAGAUAUAAUUAACUAAAAAUCCAAGAUUAACUUUUAUAUUUUUAUUAGAUUAUAAUUAUUUUUGAAUAAUAUUGAAAUGUUUUCUUUUAAUAAAUUUUAUUUAUGUGAAUAUUAUUGUUGGCAAAAAAAAUAUCAACUACCAUCAUUCUACAAACACACAACAUUGUAACAAUGAUGUAAAACAUGUACAUAAAACACAUAUAAGCCAAAAAACAUUUGCUUACAGAAUACAUAAAUAAAGAUACGAUACGAAAAUGUAAAAAAGAUUAGGAUUUUCAUACCUGAUUAAGAUUUGGUGUUGAUGAGGCUUGAUUUGGAUUAGGGUUUAUAUGCUAUUCGCUCUCAAUGUUUUUGACGCUUCGUCUCUUCUGCGGUAUGAAGCAGCAGUAUAUGUCAGUGUAUGUAGUUAUCGUUGACGUAUGUUUUUACUCUUGUUGUCUACUUUCUUUCUUUCUAUUUUCUACUUUUUCUUUUUCUUUUUUUUUUCUUUCAUUUAUUUUUCUCAAGUCUUUUUUAUUAAUGUGUCACGUCAACAACUAAUGUGUCAUUCCCUCUAUACUUCCGUUACUUUUUUUAACGGCAGUGAUGAGUUUGAUGCCAUUAAGCGAGUUUAAUGAGCCACUUGAGACCCCGUGGAGAUUAGUGAUGAAAUUGAUACCAUUUGUCGACUUCAGUGAUGAGUUUGAUAAUUAACCCACAAAAAAAAUAAACCAAAUGAACAGAAUAAUGAACAUUCGAAGGAAGUAUUGAAUUUCAUUUCAGUGCAAUCUGUUGCAACUGGCCUGAGAGUGCACAGCGCAAGCAUGCGAGAAGUCCACAGCCAUCACAUUCGAAAAAUAAACUGAGGGUAUUCAUAAAACCGAAGCACAGGGAACAAGUGAAUGAGGACGUCUUUCUUGUAGGACUCUUCAAAACUAAUGCAAGUGUGUGUGGUUUAUCCGCAAUAAUGAACUUAAUUGUCCCUCCUAACUUGACAUUGUUGAGCAAAAACCCGCAAUAAUAGUGAUAAGAAUGUUCAGAUUCACUGCAAUGGUAGAGCAACUCCUGGUUGUUAACUCGUUCCUCACAUAUUUCACAGUAGAAUGCUCCUUCGUAGAAGAAUGGUGGAACUCUCAAGGUCAAGGGGUGAUCAUCAUAUUUGUGUUCCAUCUUACUUGGUAAAAUUGCACAAAAUAUAUGGAUCUGGAAAGUACUGCAGGUUUCACAUGCAUAUUCCACCCCAACAUCAUUUUGAUUCGUGGUUACACUGCAGGUAGAAUUCGAAGAUGGCCGCUGAACAAGGGAGUGAUGCUUGUGAGAUUUGUAUUUUAUUCUGGUCGGUAAGAAUGCACAACGGAUAUCAACACAGAUAUCAUAAUCCUGACAGUGAUAGUAGAAUCCAUUUGUCAAAAUGUUGCAAACUCCACAACGCACAACAUCAUACAAGUUAUCCUUCAUCUGAAGCACGAGAGAAUGGUCGGGGUGAAAAUGCGAUGCUCCUACAGGCAACUCUUGUGGCAACAUAGUCGCACAAAAAGAAUGGAGAAAGAAACCACACUGGAUACAAGCAUAGUAAGAGGGAUGGGAAACGGUUAUAGGUUGAAUACACCCGUUGCAUAUCAGCUCUCUCUUAUCAUCAUCAUCACUGUCGCCGCUAUCGUUCUCACAGAUAGUAAACUGGAGCAGUUGUAAUGGAUGCAUCUGGUGACUCCAGUGUUUUUCAAUAAUGUGUGGAUCAUCAGAUUUUACUGACAUAGUAAUACUGAUUUCACCUUCACCUUUAAAGUUGAGUUGGGACUUGCAACACUGAGUCACAAUGAGAUCAAAUAUUGAUUCCUGGCUAGGCAGAGGAAAUAGCACCAGAUCAGGUUCAUUAUCAAUGUCAUCCGAUUCAUUCCCAUUUCUGAAAACAAGAAAUUAAAAUAAAUUCAGAGAUGAUAACACCUGAGCUCAUGACAACUUAGACAAGAAAUAAUGUGAAUAGCAAAGUAAAUAAAUAGAUUGGAAAAGGUACUUACACCAUGAAUAUUGUGGAUGUAGAACAUUUCAUGUGCACAAAAUAUGUGCACUUGUGGCAAUAAUACACCCAGCAGCUGCGGUAAACAGAUUGGCGGCAGAUACCACAGUAUUGCUUAAAGCAUAGAUGAAUGUCAGGAACAGAGUAGACGAGAGUGAGAGGGUGAUGGUGAUAAGUAGGCGACGGAAUAAUCAAGGGUGAAAAGGCACAAGUCUUGUGGAUGCAGAAGUCACAGGUGGUGCAAACAUAUGAAGAGUCUUUCGCUUCCUCAUGACAAGCAUCACACUCAAAAAGGGAUGCCUUCUUCAUUAAUGUGAGUGCGUGCUCCUCGUGUCCUUGAUGAUGAAGCACCCUCUGUUCCAAAGCACAGAACACACACACACAUCAAAGUCGCAAUCAACACACAAAUAAGAGACCUUACUAUGAAGACAACAGAUAUCACAGGUGCAAGCAUCAGAGCGUGGAUGGAGAGAAAGAGGAUGUCUUUUGUGCUUAUGGUGGUUAAUUUGCUGCGGGAAUUCUGCACAAGUCUUAUGCAAGUAGAAAUUUUGACAAGCAACAUCGUCAUCACGACUAACACAGGUAUAUGUAGGAGAGCCAACGACUUGUUUGUUGCAUAUAUUGCAUACAGCAUCCUCUCCAAAAAUAAAAUACUCUUCUAAAAUUAAAGAAUGCUCAUGUAGAUAAACUGAUAUGGAUGAUUCUGAACAAGUCUUGUGCAGGUAGAAACUUCGAAGACCGUGUCUAGUACAGAAAUACGUAUGAGAACCUUGAACUGAUUUGUUGCACGUAUGGCAUAUAAGAUCAUCUCUCUCAACGCUACACGCUGUGAAAGUGUAGCCCGAAUUGCUGAAGAGCUCGAACACUGAAAUCAUCUUUGGUUGAGAGUAGAGAUCUAAAAUGGGUUUCAAGGUUCUUAGUGUCUUAGUGGCCUAACAAUUUGACCACUGAAUUGCAGAUCAGGCAGGCGUGUUCCUCAAAAUUAUUAGACCCACAGCCGACAAGCCACUGCUAGAUUUGUAAUCUACCCCUCUUUCAUAUUUUAAUAGUCAAAUCUCACACAUAUUAAAAAUGAUGAUGUUUUAUCAUAUUCGAAUCAUUAAAUUUAUAAUAAUUAUACAUGAAUAUAACCAAGUUUUCAUGUAUUUUAUGAAAAUUUUAUACUCUCUCCAUUCCAAAAUAAUACUCCCUCCGUCGUAAUAUAAAUGUCUUUUUUGAUUUCAGACUAGUCAAAUUGACCUCAUUUUGACUAAAAUUUAUAUAUAUUUUUAUUAUAUAAUUGAAAAACAACUAAAAAAAUACCAUCAAAAAAUAAAUCUAAUCUAUUUUAGUAUGUAACUUUCUAUGUUUUAAAAUAAUAAAUAAAUGUUUUUAAUAAUUGAUCAAAAAUUAGUUAAUCUGACUUCUCGAAAAGCUAAAGGGACGUGUUAAUUGGGACGGAAGGAGUAGUCGCUAUGAUUUUUUACACGUACUUUGAUAUAAAAAAAUAGUAUUUUUUAUAAUUUUUAUUUUGAAUAAAAAUAUAGAUGUUUAACUUUUAUUCGAAAACAGGAAUUUGAAAUAUAAUGCAUAAAGUACAUUUUUUUUAUAUCUCAAAUUACGUGUACAAAAUCAAAUUGACUAUUGUUUUGAAAUAUUGGGAGUAGUUAUUUACUUAAAAAAUUUUGAAAAUCAUGUGAAUUAAUUAGAGUCAAUAUUGAAAAUAAUAUAAAAUUAUAUUGAAUAAAGAAGGGGGACAUAAAUUUAUAUGAGAACUUUUUUUUUUUGACAAACAAGCUAUUAAAAUGGAAGUAGAAAGUAACUGCUACAGUAAGUUUUUGUCUUUGGGCUCCAUGGCAUAUUCGUGUCUCCAGGCUGUAGGAAUUAUUGGUAGAGUUGUUGUUGUUUUUCUUAAGGAAUUGGUAGAGUGAUUUUUUCUUUUUAUUCUGUAUAUCUAUGAUUGAUUAUGCGUCCGUUUGUUUCCGUUUGUUUGGUAGAAACAGCUCCUGCUUCUGACUUAGGCUCUUGUUAACCUGUUUGUGUAAAUAAUAAGUAGAAAUAUUUUUACAAAGUUGAGAAUGUUAAUUUCUCUCUCAGAGUUUCUACUACUUUUUCAAACACUUUAUAACUUAUUUACUUCUCACUUCUAAUCCACUUAUUUUUUUUAAGUAAGAAAUCAUUUUUUUUUUCAUAAAAAAUGAUUUGUUAAGAUUAUGUGUUUGUUUGGUUGGAAGAAGCAGAAGCUGCUUCUGUUUUUUGCUUCUUUUGACCUGUUUGUGUAAAAAAGCAGAUUCACUUUUAAGAAGCUGAAAAUACUAGCUUCUCUAUCACAGCUUCUGCUUCUUUUUCAAACACUUUAUUAACUUAUUUACUUCUCACUUCUAAUCCACUUCUUUACUCUAAGUAAGGAAUUACUUUUUUUAAGUUUGCCCAAACGACCGCAUAUCUAUACUUCUAUACUAUACUAUUAAAGCCGAAAUAUUAAAAGUUUGGUCGGUCGGUACUUGGGCCGAAUUAUGGGCCUAUUAUAAUCAAUAAUCCUUUUUAACCCAAACAUAUUAUCCUUUCUAUAUUUUCAAACUAAAACAACACAAUCUUCUAAUUAACAUUGAGCAACAUAUCAAUUACCUUUUUUUAACUAAAACACAUCAUCUUUUUAAAUUUUCUAACGAAAACGAUGAUCUUCUAAAUAAUACGGGCAAUAUAAUAUAAAAAGAUAACAUUAUUAUAUAUAAUUAUAAAUAAAUAAUCGAUGAUAUUUUUCAACUAAAAUUAAAAUUAUUUUUAAAUACUCUAACGACCUCACAAUAAUACUAAAAUAUUAAAAAUUUGGUCAUUCGAUUGAUAUUUGACCUUACGGACCUCUUUAAUUUAUAAAUGUUCUAAUGAUUUUUAUUAUUAUCUAUUUACCAAAAUUGUGAAAAUAUUAAAAAAAAUUGGUAGUAUGAUUGGUCAAAACCAAAACAUUAAAAACUUGGUCAUUAGUAUUUUGGCCGAAUUAUGAGUCUAUCUAUAUAAUCAAUUAUCUCUUUUUACUAAAUAAUCAAUUAUUCUUUUUAACUGAAACAUAUUAUCUUUUCUAUAUUUCAAGCUAAAGCAAUUCAAUCUUAUAAAAAUAACAUUAGGCAACAUACCAAUUACAUUUUUUUAACUAAAAUACAUUAUAUUUUCUGAUUUUCUAACUAAAAACGGCGACCUUCAAAAGAAAAUAUGGGCAAUACACAUACACACACAUAUACAUAUAUAAGGUCAUAUUAUAAUAUACAAUUAUAAAUAAAUAAUUUACGAUACUUUUUCACUAAAAUAACAUUAUUUUUAAAUAUUUUAAUGACCUGACUUUUAAAAUAAUAUUAUAAAAAUAUACUAUCUACGUACACUAUAAUAUAUAUCAUUAUACAAUAUUAUCUUUAAUAACACAAUAUUCAAAAUUUGGUUAUUAAGAGUUUGGUCGGUCGGUCGGUACUUGGCCAAAUUAUGAGCCUACUUAUAUAAUCGAUUAUCCUUUUUAACUAAAAUUAUUAUCUUUUUUAUAAUUCUAACUAAAAAAACUCAAUUUUUUAAAGAUAAUAUCGAACUUCAUAUCAACUAUCCUUUUUAACUAAAAUACAUUAUCUUUUUCAGAUUCCAAACUAAAAGACCGAUUUUCUAAAAAUAACACAUGCAACGUACAUAUAAAAAAAAUAUUAUUAUAUAUUAUUAUUAAUGUACAACCGAUGAUAUGUUUCAACUAAGUACGUUGAUAUUAUUUUUAAUUACUCUGCGUUAUCACUUUAAAAGUAAUAUCCUAGAUCUAUACUAUCUAUUUAUAUUAUAUUAUACUAUAUAUUAUUAUUAUUAUUCUACUAAAACUAAUAUAUUAAUAGUUUUAUUGAUCUGUCGAGUUUUAUCAGCUGAUCGGUAUUAUUUUACGGGUCUCCUUAAUAUAUAACGUGUCUGAUAAACUUUUUUAUUAUUAAUUAACUCAAAACAUUUAAGAAUUCGGUCAGUAUAAUCAGUUUGUAUUUUAAUUAAAUUUAAAAUAUAAACAAUAAAACUACGAAUGUUAUAAUCACCCGUGCAUAGCACGGGGUAUAAGCUAUUAUUAUACGAUUAAAAGCGAAACAUUAAAAUUUUGGCCGGUCGGUCGAUAUGUGGGCCGAGAUACGAGUCUAUUUAUAUAACCAAUUAUUGUUUUUAACUUAAAUAUAUUAUCUUUUUAUAUUUUAUAACUAAAAAAACUCAAUCUUCUAAAAUAAAAUCGAGCAAUAUAGUAAUUAAUCUUUUAACUAAAAAAUAUUAUAAAAUUAAUUAAAUUUAUAAUAUAUACGAUAAAAUAACAAAUAUAUUAACCGCCCGUGCAUUGCACGGGUUAUAAGCUAGUAACUAGCGUAGAAGCACGGGCAUUGCAGUAAAACUUUUUUUAUUUAAAAUCAUGGAGGGCUAUUGUUGUAUUGUCAUGACCAAGCUAUAUAUGUUAGCUUCCAUGCUAAAUGGACAUAACAGUUCACACGAACAUGAGAUGAUUAAAUCACGACCUAAUAUAUAGAUUUUAACUUGCAAAAGAUUUUAGUUUGUAAAAGAUGUUUACCUUAGAAGUUGGAUCAUCAUAAAAUCAUAUAUCAUUAGUGUAAAAGCAAAUAACUCAGAUUCAUGCGACACUUUUCAAGCACGCAAAUAAUUAUUCGGUUUCGAGAAAAAAUGUAUAGCUAAACCAUUUCUUCAAAAACUGACAAUGAGAUCAUUCACCAAAGAAGUGAAAAUCUCACGCUCGAAAUCUAAUGCUACUUCUUGUCUAUUUUCAUCUAAUUCACCACAUUUCUCAUUUUUCCAUUCCUCUGAUGGGCACUUCCCGUCCCAGGAGUACCUCUGGUUCUCCGUUGAUCCAAUUUUUCUCCAUAUCCAGCACCUCACAGUCGGGCGCAUCAUUUCCGUAAUUUGCUUUGAUAAAGAGGUCGAAGAAAAGAUUUUCAUCUGAGUUGAAUUCAGCCUCAUUGAUGGUGUUCUUUACCCUCAUUUGUCGAAGUAAUUCCUUUGACAUUUUAUCUUGAAUUGUUAUACUCUUUCUCAUUAGCAGGAACCUACUUUUUGUAGAUAGACAACAAAGAAGAUCGAACCGGUUUAUUUCUCACAGUCAGUUAAUGCAGUACGUUUUGAAGCGACGCGGGGUUUCUUCUAAAGCUUGUGCUUUGUUCUCGGUGAUCAAGUGCACAUAAUUUAUUAAACAAUGGGAAUGGAUAAAACACAUGAAUUCUGAUGUUUGCAUAAUGAAAAUUAAAAGCACCUUGCAUCUUUCAAACUACAAAGUGCCACUUAGGCUAUGAAGCAAAUAUAAAGCAAAGCGAAGGAAAUGCUAAAAUCAUUUUCGAAUAAUCAUAUGAACCAAAAAAAGUGCCAAAAGUAUCACAAGUAAGAUAACAUAAGAUAAUUACAACUAUAUUCCAUUAAGUUUUACUAAAAAAAUGCUUGCGGAUUUUCCUUGUAUACACCCUCAACAUCAUCUUAGACAGAUUUGUCAAAACUGACGAGUUCCCUUACGAAUUUCUUUAAGAAUAACAAUAUCAUUAGUUUCUAUGUAAGCUUAUAGUUAUAAGCCACUACUUUCAUCCUUGCCUGUGCAUGAAUGGUUAACUAAUAGCUAAUAAAAAAAGCUAUUUAAUUUUAAAUUUUAAAAUUUAUAAUUUGUGUGCCUGUGCCUUAAUAAAAAAGCUAGUUAAUUUUAAAUUUAAAAAUUUAAAAAGAAUCUCAUGAACCAGUUCCUAGUUCUGGUAUAAGUAAUAUUACAAACAAAAGCUGCGGCCUUAUAAUAUUAGGGUGCAAUAUGUAAUCGGUUAAGAAACAUGAAGUUCAAAAAUAUGCCGGUUGCAGUAGUGAAUGGUUAGACAUUUAGCUAAUUUAACAACAGUGGAGGAUAACUCCUGUAUAGUCUUGUAUGUGCAAAUAAGAAACAUGUAACUGGUAAUAGUUAGUGAAUACCUGAGUAUUUUUUGGCCAUUAAGCCAGUUAUAACCACAAAAACAGGCUCAUUUCCUUCCUUUGGCAAUAAGUCGAGGAAGGUGGUUGCCUUGCUCUCCCAUAAAGCUACAAUGACUUUCAUCCCUUAUUUGUGAACAAAUAAUGAGGAAACAGUAAGUGGUUGUUCGCCCUUGGCCCAUCUUAGGAAAGGCUUGGAAUCUGAAAACAUAGUAUAAGGAGAAACAGAGCCAAAGGUGGAGUAUAUGCGUUUGAAACUUUAUCAAAUAUCUCCUCAUCAUAAUCAUAUCUGCCUGAAAAUAUAAUAUAUGACUCGGGCUUUAAAAAUAUUAUAAAUCUUGGUUCAUUUCUCAAAAAUCUUCCAUUGGCCAAAUUCUCACACACACAUUGAAUAUUUUACCUAAGGGAAAAAAUAUCAAACAAAAACUGAUGCUUAAAUUGAAAAGAUAUUAGUAAAUUAAAGAUGUCAUCGUCCUUUAAUACUACCAUCUACCAAAGGUUUAUAUCUUUUGUAACAAAACUAAUUCUGAAUAAAUAUACUUAAUUAGAAAUGGCAACAAGCUCCUCGUUGCAGCAUCCGAACAUAUAUGACAAGCCUGCGCCAGUUGGUACCAAGCACAUAUAGCUCAGAUUGUUAACUGAAAGUUAUCUAUCUCUCAAACAUAGCUGCAUAACAUUCUGGAGCUGUAUGGCCUGCACCCUGAGAAUAUACUCACACACACCAAUUUAAAUUUACCUAGGGGUUAUUGACUUGGCGGUAAGAUCUAUCAUUUUUCAGUGAUUCAUAAAUGUGACUGAGAAUACUACAUUUUUCUUUUUUCUUAUGCUGUUAAAUUUUACUUGAAUUGCAAUGCAACAAUCUUAGGUGUUGCUCUUUCAUGAAAAGCCAGAGUAUUAGUAAACAUCUGGCGAUUUAGCUUAGCGAGGAGGAAAUAAUACCACACAUGUAUAGCUUUUAAAGAUCUAACAUGCAAGAAGAUCUAGAAAAUAAGGCGAAAUAAUUACCUUUACAAAAGAGUCUCUAACACAAGUUUUCCACCACACAAUGUUGGGAAUUUUCUCUGCAAACCCAAAACUGGGAUGUUCUUUUGCCGUGUUUGUGUAUGCAAUUUUACAGCCCUCAUGCACACGCUUGUAGUUUGGACACGGAAGUCUGCAGAUUUGACUGCCAUGCAAUAGUAUUCACCAAGCUCCCCCUUGUAAGCUAUUAAUGUGCCAGUAACAUCCAGAGUGAUACAGCGUAACUUUGUCACUAUAGACAUCUUGAGUAUGAUCUUGCAGAUUUUUGUAUCUUGGUCCUGAAAACAAUUGUAUUAAAACUUUAGUAUAUCACCCAUUCAAUAUAUCAGCUCUCUAUACAACCAGCACCCACUAUUUUAAAUUAUUAGAAAUUUAGUUAAAGACACGCUAUGACAUAGUAUUAGCAAGCAUAUCAGUUAAAAUGAGUAAUAAUAAUCUUACACUGCAGGGAGACAUUUGAACAAUUGAAUAUGAUAUAAUUAUCUCAUCUUUGAAUAACGAAAAAGAUGUCUCCAUGCUUAUCUUAGAAGUUAGAAUGCCUCUUAGGUUUAAGAACAGGUUUUCUCAUUGAACAAUGUAAGAAUUUCCCCAACUCUAAUCUGAGGUGUGAUCGGGUAUUAUGUCUAGUUGACCACUAUUGUUCAAGAAAAUGACAAGUGUGAUACCAUCGUUUUCUAGGUGGUUCUUAUGGUUAUAAAAGUUGGAGAUCUAUCCUAAAAGUAGUACUAAAAGAAUCUCAUUAUCCUCAGCCUAAAUUCAAUAUUCAUGAGAUAUCGACUUGUGAAAAUUAUCAAAGAAUGUUAUAUGACUCAUGAUAAUAAUCGGAACAAUUUCAGGAUGCUCUUUUGUUCAAAGAUAUGGUGAUAAUAGUGCUUUUUAUGAAAGAACAGCCACAGUAAUUCAGAAGUUCAUACAGCAUAGAUAAAAUUUAAUCUAUAAUAAUUUGGAAGUUUAAUAUAAAAAAUUACCUCUAUUUACUCCUCAGUCUAUAAUCAACUUCAUGUACACGUAUCUAGCACCAAUCAGAUUACUUUGCCAUACACAGAGUUAUAUUCCAGGGUUGCAUCAUAAUAUAAUGCAUUUGAAGUAUACUGCACAUUUAAUAACCUUUCAAAGAUGAAUUUCCCGUAGCCCCAUUCUAUUUCUUUUUCCAAAGUAGGAAAGUAGAUUACUCUGUAAUGCAUUAUUCUAACUACACAUCUUACCGAUCGGAAAAGUACACAAGACUUUACAUCAGGCCUAAAGAAAAGAAAGCGCAUGCCAACUAUAAGGUUCAAGCAAUCGCAUCUGACCUGGUAAGAGCGGUGUGCUAGAUGAAAUCUGCAGUAUUCAAUAACUAAGCUCAAAGAAGUAGGUUUAACUCGUGCAGGUAGUGAUAUAGGAUUGCUCUUUGACGAUCCAAGUCCUGAUGCCAUUUCAUGAACAGCAGUGGGGCAUAACAUUGCAAUCUCUCGUUCCACUUCUUGUAUAGAACCAUCAGAAGUUUAAAUCCAUGCAUAGGGUUCCAUUCUCUAAAUUCCAUAAUAAAAUACACACAUAAUUCAUAUUGCAAAGUUUACAAACUUUAUGGUGAAAACAGAUCAUGUAUGUUGCAAGAGAUCUCAAAUACUUGAGUCAUAUUGCAUACCUCAUGUAUAUUUUAUUGAAGAAGUUGAUAUUUUACUAAGAAUGACUAAACCUAGGCGAUCACUACAAAGUUUUAUACCUAUGUAACAACAUUAAAUUUAUUAACACGAAAUCAAAACAAGCCACUUUGGUUUUUUUAUUAAAUUUGAAAAAUAUGCACACUAUAUUUAGUAAUUAGGUGUUCUACAGCUUUUCCUGAAUUAAUUGUGAAAUGAAAAUACAAUAUUAAUAGCAUUAGAACAAAACAGUCAAAGAACCAAUUUUUCGGGUGCACCCCUAGUUUUAGUUAUAACAAGUAAUAUUCUUGGUGAUUUUUUCAAAAUAUUCCCGAAUUUAAUAUAUUACUUUAAUAAAAAUCUGAUUUAAUUCUUCAAGUCAGCAAUAAGCCUAAACAAGAAAAAUCCUUAAUUAUAAAUACUAAGAAGCGAUGAAACUUUUUUACUACUAAUAAGGUUUAAGAUUUCCAAUUUUUACAAUUUACAUAGUGCAAGAGAUUUAAGCAAUAACUUUAAGGGAGGUGUAAUAACAGGGACAUGAAAUCUUUCACAUCAAAGAAAGGCGUUCUAUUACUUAACAUAUAAAAUAGAACAAAACAAUAACUAUAUAAUAUCAAACACGUUUUCUUUCAGCUUCCGACAUAGUACCAAACAAGUUUUAUGUUUUAGUUUUAUUUUUUGUAGAAUGAAAUGUAGAGCCAGAGCCAAAAUUAUUACUAUAUAAUAUUAAGUACAAAAACCAGAUAUAUGCCAUCAUUGUAUAUAAGAAAUAAAUAUUCAAACAGAAGAAUUAUUGUUUUGUUCUUUUUCAAGGUUUGCUAGUUGCUACGACUAAUGAUGCCAAUACGAUAUUGUGUUUAUUAAAUAUCUUGAAAAGAGAUGACCUUUUGAAGGGCAUUGGCAAAAAAGAAAGCACAAGGAUACAGUCUGGAGUGGAUAAUUACACGGAAGUGAGUAAAUCUUUAUUUUUAAGUUUCAACAGCAAAAUAUGAUUAAAUCUAUUGCACACCAAUCAGCAACACAUCGACAGAUACAAUUGAAAGGAGCGGAUAAGAUUACCUCGACACAUGUCUCUUCCUCUGCCUCGCCAACACAAGCCCUACAACGCCUUUAUUCCUCCCCUUGCAGUUCUUUCUCUAUGAUCUAAGAAUCACCAAAAAGAACUUAAUAAUCCAACUUAAAUGACAUAUGAUAGCUUCUUCACGAUAAUAUAUAAAUCAGACUGUACCAUAAAAACUAUAUAUAAGAUAACAAGAGUAUGCAUUGUCUACUAAUGCAAUCCCCAAAAUGCAAGAAUGCAAAUAUGUUGAACAUGUAAUUACUAUAAGUAGGCAUCUUACUUUGGUAAAGUUCUUCUUCUCCGCUCCAUAACCUUUAACAUACAAGUAUCCCAUUCCAUUAUAAGCUGAAAAAAGUCAUAACAUUAAGGCACAACAGCACCCAGAACAUAACAUUUUGCUAAAGGCAGAAUUCCCCAAAAUACAUUUAUCAAUCCAUCCAUUGGGACAAGUGCGUAUCUACUAAAUUAUAUGAAAAUUCAUGAUAUACAGAUAAAGCCCACUAAACACAUUGGUCUCAGUUUAAACCCUCGAGUACAAACUGAGAGAAGGGUUACAGGGGGAAAAAGAAAACAAAAAAAAAAAAAAUCAAAGUAUAAAUACCGUCUGCUUCAGAGUCACUAUCCUUCACAGUAUAUCCCACACGCUUGCCAUUUUCUCUGCAUAUACUGACCCGAAUUGUAUGACUAAUCUAAUUACACCAAUAAACACCACGGGCACAUACAACUAUACAAGCAAGCUAUCACCAUGUCCAGAAUAGACAUAUGACUCAUGUGAAUAUACCCGAGUCACCUGCUAAAUUCAUUGAAAGGGAUAUGGACCGAGCUGACGCCUGACGGCGGUUACGCCCAAGGACAAUUUUGUAAUUCAAGAAAUAUUGAGGGCAUGCUGGUAAUUUUACAAGCAUUUUUCAGGCUCAUUUUGCCCCUGGUCGCCUUUUAAUAUAUAGAAGUAGAUUACAUAAAAACUUGAUAGAUGAAAUCUAACAUCCAAGUAUAUCCAAAUUAUAAUUAUAAAAUAUUAUAAAAUCCAGAACAGAAUCCAGAAUAAAAUCAUAUAUAUAUUUUUUGCAUGAUUAAUUUAAUAUAAAAUCAUGAUAUUUUUAAUUCAUAUUUAUUAUUAAACGUGUUAGACAUUAUUAUUAUUUAUAAUAAAAAAUUAAAUAAUUUAAAAUUAGAAUUUAAUUCACAUUUUUUUUCCUUUUUAAGGCGUUCUUCUGUACAUUGGCGAAGAGCUCCAACACUGUGAUCAUUUUUGGGCGAUGGAAGAAAUAUUGAAAUUGAUUCAAGAUUCUUAUUACAAUCUCACAGGAUAUAUUAACCAUAUAAUGAUAACUCAUCCUGACAGAUGGAGAGCACUAACUAAAAUGGAAAGGACUGCACUACUCUUCUUAGGGUUUGUCUAGUGUGUGCACAUGGGCACGCACCAAAUUCUAUAAUUUUGGUGGAUUUUGAUUGGUGUGGUUGGUGAAUUUACAGGAGGUCCACCAUUAUAAAGAAACAUGAGCCAAUCAAAAAUCACCAAACUUAUAAAAUUUGGUGCUGUGUGCCCAUGAGCACACGCUAGAAAAACCGCUCUUCUUGUUACUCCAGCAAGUCUAGUAGGGUCCAGUCAACAUUAUUAACAUGUACUACAAGUAAACAUGAGCAGUGAGCACUGAUGAGUCAUGAGUGAAUAAUAUUGUUUUAUACUCCCCUUUUAACCGGUAACAUGCCAAGCCUGUACAGAAGAGUGUGGUGCUGUUUGAUGAGCACCGACUGAGCAAAAAAUUGAAAAAAAUAUCGAAAUUGAAAUCGAUAAAAAUCGAGUCAGAAAAAAUCGAUUCAAAAUUGAUAUGAUGAUAUCGGAAAAUGAAAAACCGAAUCAAUUUAAAUAAAUAAUAUAUAUGUAUAAUAUUCUGAAUUUAAAAAUAAUUUCAAAGAAAUAAAUAUGUUAUAUUUUAUAAGUUGGGCUAAUAUAUGUUAAAAAUAAUUUCAAAGAAAUAAAUAUGUUAUAUUUUAUAAGUUGGGCUAAUAUAUGUUUGCAAGUAUAUGUUGAUUUGAGAUAUUGAUUUCUUACUCUUUGUCAUGUGUAUUUGAUGUAAAUAUUUCUUAUUUGCUUAAUUUGUUUAUGCUGAAAUUCGUAUAUAAUAUUUUCUGUGGAUCAGUUGGGUUGUAAAAAUCGUAGUAAAUUGAAAAUUGAUCGCAUUUUGUUGAUUCUGGACAUUAUGAAAAGCUCUCUUCGAUACCUACAACUUUUAUCUCAGGCAGUUUGUCGAAAUUCGUAAUGUAUCUAUGCUAAAAAUCACAUUCUUUGUUACCCUUCAGUUCUUAGUCGCGAAACUUUUUCCCAUUUUCAAAAAUUCGCUAUAAAUUGAUCGUACGUCGAAACUUUAUUCAUGAUACCAAUCUGAAAAGCUUAAGAUAUAAUCUUUCAUUAUCAGUCAUACCCAUUUGUUGUUUAAAUUGAUUUAAUUAUCUAAACUGACUUACAAAGAUUCAGGGCUGUUUAUACUUUUCUGCUGAGUUGUUCCGUGUUUAAAAAUUCGUAUCUCCCUCGUUAUUUGUCAUAAAAUUGUUAUCUUUACCAAUUAUGAAACCUAUGAGAAUGCUCUUUAAGUGUUUAGUUAUAGUCUAAUUGAGAUCAGUUUGUUUGAAUCGUCAAAAUCAGCUUUGUAUGUAAUCUGUUCCUGAGUAAAAUUCUGUUGUGUAACUUGAACUUCUAAAAUUCAUAACUAAUUCGUUAUCUGUCCGUUAUUUAUGAAUCUGGUCAUUUUGGAAUCCUUGUUGAAUCUACUUUAAUUCUCCAGUUGACUAUUUUCUCAUAUUCAGAAGUUAUCUUUGGUUAAGAUUGAGAUUUGUAACAGCAUGUAUGUUAUUUAUCUUAUUCGAUAAAUGAAGUUGUGUUAAUUGUUAUUAGUUGUUAAAGUUUGAAUUUUGUUAAGACUUGUUAUGUGCCUUGCUCUUGAUUGUUUAAGGAGUACUACAUGUUAAUUAUGUUUUGUUUAUUAAUUAAAUGUAUAGGCUUUGUUCGUGUUAUUAAUUUCGGAUUUUAAGUGUCGACUUUGAGGUAAGUACUUUUUGACUGACUUUUAUUUCCGAAAAGAUAUUUUGAUUUUGUGAAUUUCAAAUUUUUGUAUAAGAUAUAAGAAUUUUGUUUCGAAAUUUAUAAGAUAUAAGACACGAGAAUCUUUGAAGACCCAGUCUCUACGUUUCGAACCUGUUCGUAAUUUACGCUAUAGUUCCGGAACUAGCCUUAAAUACCCUUAGUAGGCCCACAAGUGUGCAACUUCAGAUACCUAUUAAGGGCGCGUGAUUAUUGAAUUUUAGAUCCCGGUCACUGGGUAAGUGUGGCAAAAGAAUAAGAAUAAGAAGAAGAUCCCGGUCACUGGGAAAGUGUGGCCGUAGGGCAAGACUGUUGUAGUAUUGAUAAGAUUUUUGUUUCUAUUCUGUUUUAAAUUUUGUUUGUUUUUAAAAUAUAAACUUUGGGUUUGAUUUGCUUUUACAAAUGUUUCAAAAAUUAUUAUUGUUUUCAGAAACAAUAUUUUAUAAAAAACACCCACUGAUUUUCAAGAUUUAUUUGUUAGUCAAAUUGUUACUUGCUGAGCUGUGUAGCUCAUCCCUUUUACAGUUUUUCAGGUUUGAUUUAAGAGCGAGUUGAUGUGCAUUGGAUUUGGAGUUCGGUGAUAUUAGAUUUGAUUGAUGUUUGGACUUCCGUUAGCUGCGCUUUUGUAAUAGUCACCUUUGUAAGAGGUUUUUGGAUUAAUAAAUUGUGUUUAUUUUAGUUUUGGAUUUAGUUUUAAUAUUCCGAAAAUUCGGGAUGUUACAGGGACCUAUCUUAAGUUUUGAACAGCGGGCCCUAAGUGUGAGCUGAUGUGCUCAUGAGCAAGAAAAACCUAAUAAUUAACACUGUUGCAAUGAUUCAGGCUCCUUAUUAAACUAACCAGUUUGAACGUAAAGUUUUCAAAACUAACCGGCCUACGUUCAACUUUUCAAAACUAACCAACCUAAUUCUAAGGAAGUCGGACGACCCCAAGUGGGGGAGAGAAGAGUAGGUCGCCUCUAGCACGGGCGACCCGUGGUGUUUAUGGCUGAGGGGCUAGGAUCGCCCUAGCACGAGCGACCCGUGCUCUUUUCACUUUCUCAGGCUUUAGAAGUCUACAACUCCAAGAACUAGUAAUUUCAGAUUGUGCUUUCAUGCUAAGAAACUGUGGAGGAUGUUGAAAUGUCUCUUAUUUCUAUUAUCAUCAAUUUCGUGUUUGGAAAAUGUACUAUUAAUAUCAAUUUCAUUUUCUUAUUAAUUUCAAUUACUAUUAAAAUUAAUUUUGAUUAUUACUCUUACUAAUUCUCUACUAUUUUUAAUAUUUUAUUCUUUUUGAUUAUUAUUUUUAUUAAUUCCGAGUAUUACUUUUUUUAUUUUAAAAAUAUUUUCAUUUCUAUUUUUCAUUAAAUUCGACUAUUUUUAUAAAAUUCUGAUUAUUACUUAUAUUAUUUUACAAAUAUUUGUAAAUAUUAUAACAAUAAUAUUUCUAAAUUCCGAUUAUAACAAUAAUAUUUUUAAAUUCCGAUUAUAACAAUAUUAUUUUACAAAUAUUUUCUCUUUUUUUUCCGAUUUCAUCUAUUAUGUUUACCCUAUUUGUAAAUAUAAUUCGAUUAUUUAAUAUUUGUAAAAAAGAAUUCGAAUAUUUGUAAAUUCCGAUUACAACAAUAAUUUUUGUAAAUUCCGAUUAUAACAAUAAUAUUUGUAAAUUCUGAUUAUAAUAAUAUUUGUAAAACAACGGAGCAGUUUAAGUUAACAACUUCCAAUCACUUGCUCGCUUAGCAUAAUCUGGUGGAGGGUUUGUAUCAUGUUUGUGCUUUCAUCCACUGCAAAACUGAAUUUCAAUCGUUCAUUAUCUUGUUUUGACUCUGAACACAAUACUCUUGACUUGUGGCCGCUAUUGUUUUAGCCAAAUAAUUAAAUACAUGAAAGAACUGGUGAAUUAAAUCAGCGGAGAUCCAAAAACAACACCUGAAUUUCAUAUAAGUGCACUUAUAUUCAGGGACAGUGGGCUACUUGUCCCCACUACCGUGUGAGUACAUUAAUUUUUAUGUCAUGCUCUUUCUGGUUUUUUUCAUAUGACGCUUUGAUUUUUGGCACACAUUUCUAAGUGCUUUGAGCGGGUAGUUAAAAAUAUUAUUUUUUGAAUUUUUUUUCUGAAUAAAAAUUUUGAUUAUAUAUUAUUAUUCAGAAAAAGAAAAUUUAAAAAAUAAUAUUUUUAACUACCCGGUCAAAGCACUUAAAAAUGUGUGCCAAAAGUCAAAGCGUCAUAUAAAAAAAACGGAGGGAGUAUAAAUUAACAUUGUAGGGUGCAGCUUUGCCCAGGCCUCUACUGGAUAUAGCAGGGGUUCGACUCCUUCCUAUAUCCACAGCACAGAACUUUAGGAAUUUUAGUCGACUCCUGCCUGCAGCAGUUUUUUUUCUAUGUUUUAGUCGCCUCCUGCCUGCAGAUUGUAUCUUUCAUUACAAAUUUUCUUUAGCCCACAGCACAUAGUCGACUCUUGCCUGCAGAUUCUAUAUAUAUUUCAUUACAAACUUUUGUUUUCUUCUAUGUUUUAUUCGACUCCUGCCUGCAGAUUGUAUAUUCAUUACAAACUUCUGUUUUUUUUAUAAUUUAUGAGUUUGUUGUUGUAUUGGUAAGAGGAAGUUUGCAUAGCCAAAGUUUGAAGGUUUUUAUCUAACAACAGACUCAAGACUCAGUUAUAUAGUGCUUUGCUUUCUACAGGUUUUCUUCACUUGGAUCAUAAACUCAAUACAUCUUACCUAAGAACAAGUUACACACAUGUUGGCACCUAAUCCUCAACCUCUAGAAAACAUGUCCCAGCCUUUUCAGGUGUGAUAUUAAAUAUGUGGGUUUGGUGCAUUGUUAACGUAAGUAGUUUAGCCAAAUAAACGUAGAUGAAAGAACCGGUGUUUGAAGUAUAAAGGCAUGCAUCAUGAAACGGGGUACAAGCAAACUAAAUAAAGCAAAUGAACAGAGAAAUGCACAUUCUAAAGAGAAGUACAGUAGUUAUAUGAGUGCAAUCUGUUGUGACUUGCCCGAGAGUAGACAGUAAAAACAAGCAAGAAGUCCACAACCAUCACAUUCCAGAAGAAAAGAGAAUGAAUCGGAAAAACUGAAGCACUGUGAACAAGUGUGUAUGGGCUUCUUUCUUGUAGGCGUCUUCAUAACUAAUGCAAGUGUGUGUGGUUUAUCCGAAAUAAUAACUUUAAUUGUCCCUCCUAACUUGACAUUGUUGAGCCAAAACACGCAAGUAUAGUGAUAAGAAUGUUCAGAUUCACUGCAAUGGUAGAGCAAAUCUUGGUUGUUAACUCGUUCCUCACAGAUUUCACAGUAGAAAGCUCCUUCGUAGAAGAAUGGUGGAUAUCUCAAGGUUAAGGGGUGAGAAUCAUAUUUGUGUUCCAUCCUACUUGGUAUUAUUAUACAACAUAUAUCAAUCUGGAAAUUAUUGCAGGUUUCACAUCCAUACACCCCAAACUCAUUUCGAUACCUGGUUAUACUGCAGGUAGAAUUCAAAGCUGGCCGCUGAACAAGGGAGUGAUGUUUGUGAGAUUUGUAUUUUAUUCUUGUUGGUAAGAAUGCACAACGGAUAUCAACAUAGAUAUCACAAGUCUGGCAGUGAUAGUAGAAUCCAUUUGUCCAAAAGCCGCAAACUUCACAGACCACAGUAUCAUAAAAUUUAUCCUUCAUCUGAAGCAUGAGAGAAUGGUGGGGGUGAAAAUGCAAUGCUCCUACAGGCAACUUCUGUGGCAACUUAGUCGCACAGAAGGAAUGGAUGAAGAAACCACACUCUAUACAAGCGUAGUAAGACGGAUGGGAAACGGUUAUAGGUUGAAUACACCCGUUGCAUAUCAGCUCUCUCCUAUCAUCAUCACUGUCAUCGCUGUCAUUGUCACAGGUGGGAAACUGGAGCUGUUUUAAUGGAUGGAUCUGGUGACUCCAGUGUUUUUCAAUAAUGUGUGGAUCAUUAGAUGUUACUGACAUCGCAACACUGAUUUCAUCUUCACCUUCAAAGUUGACUUGGGAUUUGCAACACUGAGUCACAAUGAGAUUAAACAUUGAUUCCUGGCUUUGCAGAGGAAACAGUACCAGAUCAGGAUCAAUAUCGAUGUCAUCUACUUCAUUCUCAUUUGUGAAAACAAAAAAUUAAAAUUAAUUCAGAGAUGAUUAACACAUGAGCUCAUGAAAAUUUAGAGAAGAGAUGAUGUGAAUAACAAAGUGAAAAUAAAUUAAAAGGUACUUACACCAUGGAUAUUGUGGAUGUAGAACAUUUCAUGUGCACAAAAUAUGAGUACCUGUCGCAAUAAUACACCCAGCUCCUGCGGUAAACAAAUCGGCGGCAGAUACCACAGUAUUGGUUAAAGACGAGAUGAAUGUCAGGUAUAGAGUAGACGAGAGUGAGAGGGUGAUUGUGAUAAGUAGGCGAUGGAAUACUCAAGGGUGAAAAGGCGCAGGUCUUGUGAAUCCAGAACUCACAGGUGGUGCAAACAUAUGAAGAGUCGUUCGCUUUCUCAUGACAGGCUUCCUUGUUCAUUAACGUCAGCGUGCUCCUUGUGUCCUUCAUGAUGAAGCACCCUCUGCUCCAAACCACAAAACACACACACAUCAAAGUCACAAUCAACACAUGCAUAAGAGACCUUAAUGACACGAUAACAAAUAUCACAGGUGUAAUCAUCAGGUCGUGGAAGGAGAGAAAGAGGAUGGAUGGUGUGUUUGUGGUGGUUAAUUUGCUGGGGGAAUUCUGCACAAGUCUUAUGCAAGUAGAAAUUUUGACAAGCAACAUCGUCAUUACAACUAACACAGGUAUAUGUUGGGGAGCCUGCGACUCGUUUUUAGCAAAUAAUGCAAGCAGCAUCCUCUGCAAAAAUAAAAUCCUGUUGUAAGCUUAAUGAAUGCUCAUGUAGAUAAACAGAUAUGGGUAAUUCUGCACAAGUCGACUUGUGCAGGUAGAAACUUCGAAGAUCAUUGUGUCCAAUACAGAAAUAUAUAUCAGAGCCCUGAACUGAUUUGUUGCACGUAUGGCAUAUAAAAUCAUUUCUUUCAACAAUACACUCUGUGAAUGUGUACCCCGAAUUGCUGAAGAACUCCAACACUGAAAUCAUUUUUGGUUGAGAGAAGAGAUUUAAAGAUGGGUUUCAAGGUUCUCAGUGGCCUAACAAAUUUGUUCUUGGGGUUCUAGGGUCGAACAUACAUAUUUAUAUAUAAGACGAUAGCCGGCUAUAUUAAUUAACACCGAAAAACUAAACUAAUUAACAGCAUUAAACUAUACUGUUACCCGAGUAAAUUAAUUCUGGAUCAAGGCAUGGGUCGAAUAAAACUUGUAAAAACAGUUCAAUUGGGUGACUUGGGUCUAUUCAAGGGCUCAAAGGUAGACUGACUUCGCAUCUCUUUAAUAAUUUCAUAGAGAGCAGGCCGGCUCAAGAUAAUAAUAAAAUAUUUUGUCAAAAAUAUUUAAUCUUAUUAACUCAUCUUUCCUUUAUGCAAUUAAAGAGAUAUAUGUACAUAUACAUACUCCCUCCGUUUCAAUUUACAUGUCCACUUCCAUGAAAAAAUUUUGUUUCAAAUUACUUGUCCAUUUAAACUUUCAAUGCAAAAUCAUAUUUCCAAAAUCAUUUCUACUCCACAUAUUUCUUAUUUAUAUUUCUUAGAUCAAUCUCACUUCACAUAUUUUGAUCAUUUAAUACAAUUAAUUUGUGAACAUCCACUUUUCUUAAACUAUGUGAUUUUUUUAAAGUGGACAUCUAAUUUGAAACGGAGGGAGCAGAUGAUAUGCACGAGAGUCCACAAUCAAGAAAUAAAUAAGUAUCAAUUUAUAUUUUUCUCAUGCAUCGGGACAUAUGUCGAAUAACGUUAGAUCACAUAUCGUUGUUGUAUUCACAUCACAUUUGAAUUAAUAUACUUCAUUUUUUCAUAUCGCAUUCGCCUUUCACAUCCCAUUUGCAUUAGUAUACUCCAAUCUAAUAUUCCUAACAACCAUAUAAUAAUAUGAUAGAUACCUUUCACACCCCAUUUACAUUAAUAUACUUCAUUCUUUUAUAAAAGUAUCUCCAACAGCGUUGGCUAUAAUUGUUGGCUAAAUUGAACCAGUAAGACAUUAGGUAAAAUUUGCUGAACCUAUUUAAAAAUAGAAUGUUAUUAAUAUUUUAGUUUGUUAAAAUAAAAUAUAUCAGUUUAAUAUGGUAAUAAAUGAUGUGCAAUCAUCCUACAGAUUUCUGACAGACCUGCAAGGUUCGACAAAUAUAGCCAUCCAUAGAAGGUUGGCUAAAAUUAUAGACAACAAGUUCACGUGGUUGGAGUAUGAUUUUUUUCAACGGCUAAAUUUUCUAUAUUUGGAAUGCCAGCUCAUUUUUUAGCUAAAGAGUUUGUAUGGUUGGAGAUGCGAACAACCAUAUAAUUAUAUCUUAUUCUAACAUAUGGAGAGCAAAACACUAGCAUAAAUGAAAGUAAAAUUUUUUGCUCACAAAAGUUGAGUAUAAAAUCUUAUAUAAAAUGAUGUGUUAAUUUUGAUUGGAACAAACCCUAUAUUUACAUAAAUAAAAUCAAUUAAAAAUGGGCAAUGCUAGAGACCCCUAAAAAAAUUCUCAAAAAUCUUUACCAAAUGAUGUGGCAAACAAGUGGCUAGUUAUGAUUGGGUGAUUGAUGAAUCUGCAGGGGGACUCAUUAUUAUGGGAGAGAAUUCAGCCAAUCAGAUUUGGACACAUCAUUUGGGAAAAUUAUUUGGAACAAUUGUUUGGGGUCUUCAGCAUUUUCCAUUAAAAAUAUUUUAUCUCAAUUACAUGUCAUUUUAUACAAAAUUUUAUACCUAUUUCUAUAUAUAGCACUUCCGAUCAAAACAUGCACUCUUAUUAUUAUACCAAGACUACCGAGUCUUUAAUGUAUAAUGAAGCGCUAAUGAUAUUCUUUUUUAAAUUGAUACCUAAUCCUUGUUAAAUAAAUUUGAUACCUAAUCCUCCUUAGAGAUGGACUGCCAAAUUAUUUAAUUAAACUACUGCUUACUUUUGUCUUUUGUCUUUUGGGGAUAUUAGACGACUACAGGUCUGUACGAAUUAUUGAUAGUCAUUUUGUGUUUUUAAUAUACUAGUUUAUGACCGGUCCAAGCACGAGAUUAUAUAAAUUUUUUAAAUUUAUUAUUUAUUGGAAUUUAAUAUUUUUGAUAUAUUAUUUAAAUUAUUAUUGUCGAGAUACAAAACUUAUUACAUUUACAUACUCAUAUUUGAUUAUGUUUAAAUUUUAUUUUUCCAAAAAAAAUAUUCUCAUAAUAUAUAUUAUGAGAUGAAUUUAUUCCAAUAAUACAUUUUAUUUAAAUAAAAUCAUUAUAUUGUUUUUGAUUCUAAAUACAUGGAAAACAAUUCAACACCAGCAUAUAUAAAUUGACUGAGAGGGUAUUCAAUCUUUAGUACAACUUAAUUUUUAAUUCAUAAUUAUAUUUAGACGUUUAAUAAAUAUUAUUAAGUGUAAUGCUAAUUGAAGUUCUUGUAAAUUUAAUAUUUACAUCACGGAGUGUCAAGUGUGACCCUCAGGAAGUGGUACAAGAGACAGAUGGUGUAUGUUGUGCUUAUGGUGGCCUAUUUGAAUGCGCAAUUCUGCACAACUCUUAUGCAAGUAGAAAUCUCAGCAUAAUAUGCAGUAUGUCAAUAAUAUAAAUUCUAUCUAUUAUAAAUUGGCUGCUCUGUAGACAAAAAAAGAAUGUAGAUUAAAACAUCAAAAAUAUCCGGCAACUGGCAUGAUGAUAAAAACAUGUAUAUAGUCCUCCUUAUGAUAAAAAAUAUCCUGAAAUCAUUGAGGGAAGAGAUAGAUGAUCAUGAAAUUUCUUCUGCAUUAUUUUUGUGACAGACUUAUCAAGGCAUGUUUUAAUUGCAAAUCGCAAUCACCUUUCACAUACGGCUAUAUGAAAUACUAUUUGUCUUCCAACCGCGUGGAAUAUUGAUGGAAUAUAUUAAGGUCCUUACUAUGGUGUAUUAUAGCCGGCUAUGCAAGCUGGAAUAAUUCUUUUGUUCUCUCUAGUUGAGAGGAAAUGAUUUUCUCUGUUUGACUAAGAUAUAUGAUCAACUGGAGUUCGACAUUCAUCUGUCGACACUGGAGCUCUUCAUAUUGUUUUCAAUGACAAAGGGUACAGCGUACAAGCAAACGAAAUGAAGCAAAUGAACAGAAAAGUGCACAUUUUAAAGAGAAGUACAAUAAGUUCAGUGGAGAUCCCAAAACAUCUGAAUUUUAUAGAAGUGCAAUCUGUUGUAACUUGCCCGAGAGUGGACAUUCCAAGCAUGCAAGAAGUCCACAACCAUCACAUUCCAGAAGAAAACAGUAGGUGCUGUAAUAAGCGAAGCACUGUGAACAACUGUGUAUGGGCUUCUUUCUUGUAGGCGUCUUCAAAACUAAUGCAAGUGUGUGUGGUUUAUCCGAAAUAAUAACUUUAAUUGUCCCUCCUAACUUGACAUUGUUGAGCCAAAACCCGCAAUAAUAGUGAUAAGAAUGUUCAGAUUCACUGCAAUGGUAGAGCAACUCCUGGUUGUUAACUCGUUCCUCACAUAUUUCACAGUAGAAUGCUCCCUCGUAGAAGAAUGGUGGAUAUCUCAAGGUUAAGGGGUGAGCAUCAUAUUUGUGUUCCAUCCUACUUGGUAUUAUUAUACCACACAUAUUAAUCUGGAAACUGCUGCAGGUUUCACAUCCAUAUUCCACCCCAACCUGAUUUCGACACCUGGUUACACUGCAGGUAGAAUUCGAAGCUGGCCGCUGAACAAGGGAGUGAUUCUUGUGAGAUUUGUAUUUUAUUCUGGUUGGUAAGAAUGCACAACGAAUAUCAACAAAUAUAUCACAAGUCGGGCAGUGAUAGUAGAAUCCAUUUGUGCAACUUCUGCAAACUCCACAAACCACCAAAUCAUAAAAUUUGUCCUUCAUCUCAAGCAAGAGAGAAUGGUCAGGAUGAAAAUGCGAUGCUCCUACAGGCAACUUCUGUGGCAACUUAGUCGCACAGAAAGAAUGGAGAAAGAAACCACACUGGAUGCAAGCGUAGUAAGAGGGAUGGGAAACGGUUAUAGGUUGAAUACAGCCGUUGCAUAUCAGCUCUCUCCUAUCAUCAUCACUGUCGUCGCUAUCAUUCUCACAGUUUGUAAACUGGAGCAGUUGUAAUGGAUGGAUCUGGUGACUCCAGUGUUUUUCAAUAAUGUGAGGAUCGAUAGAUGUUAUUGGCAUGGUAACAUUGAUUUCACCUUCAUCUUUAAAGUUGUCUUGGUACUUGCAACACUGAGUCACAAUGAGAUCAAAUAUUGAUUCCUUGCUAGGCAGAGGAAAUCGUACCAGAUCAGGAUCAUUAUCCAUGCCAUCCGCUUCAUCCUCAUUUCUGAAAACAAUAAAUAAAAAUUAAUUCAGAGAUGAUAAGACAUGAGCUCAUUCUUAGAGAAGAAAUGAUGUGAAAAGCAAAGUAAAAACAAUUGAAAGGUACUCACACCAUGGGUAAUGUGGAUGUAGAACAUUUGAUGUGCACAAAAUAUGUGCACUUGUGGCAAUAAUACACCCAGCAGCUGGGGUAAACGUAUCGGCGGCAGAUACCACAGUAUUGCUUAAAGAAGAGAUGAAUGUCAGGAACAGCGUAGACUAGAGUGAGAGGGUGAUUGUGAUAAGUAGGCGAUUGAAUGAUGAAGGGUGAAAAGGCACAGCUCUUGUGGAUGCAGAACUCACAAGUGGUGCAAACAUAUGAAGAGUCUUUCGCUUCCUCAUGACAAGCAUCACACUCAAAAAGAGAUUCCUUCUUCAUUAAUGUCAGAGCGUGCUCCUUGUGUCCUUGAUGAUGAAGCAGCCUCGGUUCCAAAGCACAAAAAACACACACAUCAAAGUCACAAUCAACACAUGCAUAAGAGACCUUUAUAUUACCAUGACAAAUUUCACAGCUGUCAUUAUCAGAGCGUGGAAGGAGAGAAAGAGGAUGGAUGGUGUGUUUAUGGUGGUUUAUUUGUUGGGGGAAUUCUGCACAAGUCUUAUGCAAGUAGAAAUUUUGACAAUCAACAUCGUCAUUACGACUAACACAGGUAUAUGUAGGAGAGCCUACAACUCGUUCUUUGCAAAUAUUGCAAGCAGCAUCAUCUCCAAAAAUUAAAUCCUCUUCUAAAUUUAAUGAAUGCUCGUGUAGAUAAACCGAAACCGGUAGUUUUGAACAAGUCAUGUGCAGGUAGAAUCU